rnacentral:lncRNA from 1 species
GGGACUAAUUUAGAAUCACUACGAAUUCUUAGUAAAUUUCAAAAUUCAUACUACAUACCGUUGCCAACCAUAAUUUACUCAUUUCAUCAAUACUUCUAUAACCUAAAUGACUCUCAUAAAACGUCCUAGGUACUUGCCAUUAUCAAUACUCAACAUACUUUACCUUAAUGAAUUCGGGAUCGUCUUGGGAUGCUGAUUCAACGUACUAUCUUUACUUAACCUGCGCACGGAAACAAACUGUACGCUGAGUAUGGUAUACUCAGUGGUAUUUCUAUAAUCUGAACAAUUAAUAAUAUAACAAAUACUUAAGAUCAUAAUAAUAAUUACAAUUAUUCAAUUAUUUAUUCAUAGAUAAAUUUCAACUACUUACCAUAUAAAUUUUAUACAGUUCAUAUAAUAAACACAAUAACAUAAUUGUUCAAUUCUUAAAUAAAUCCAUUACUAUUUACUCCGUUCUUUCACUUACUAUUCGGUAUAGCUUUCCUUAAUUUACUCACAAUUCAAUAUCAUUAAACUAAUUCAACUAUAUACUUAUCAAUCAUAUUCCAUUUUAAUUCAUUUCAAUAACAGUCAAUUUCAUUUAUAUCGUAUCAACUUACUAUCCCUGAUAGCUUUUAGUAUAUACAUACGAUUCAUAUAUCUCAAAUCACAUUUCAAUUCAUCAAGUGGCAUUAGAGGUGAUCAUGGGCCGGGCCGGGUCGGGUUCGGGCCGGGCCCAUACAAAUUUUUAGGCCCGUCUACUAGGCCCGGGCCUGGCCCGGCCCGAAAUAUGGGCCUAAAAUUUUGCCCAAGCCCGACCCGAAAUAAAAUUACUAAGCCCGAGCCCGGCCCGGCCCAUAUUAAUUUUUUUAUUUCAUUAAAUAAAAAAAUUUAAAAAUAUAAUAAAUCAAAUAUAUUUAAAAUCAUAAAAACAAAUAUUAAAACAAAUAAAAAUAAUACUAAAACAAUUCUUAAAACAAUACACAAAUUAAUAAUAUAAUAAAAAAUAGUUAUAUUAAAAAUUUAAAAUAAUUAAAAAUAAAAUAAAUAUAUAUAAUUCGGGCCAGGCCCGGGCCAAAAAACUCUUACCCGAGGCCCGGCCCGUUUUCUAAACGGGCCUCGUUUUUUUGCCCAAGCCCAUUUUUCGGGCCUAUAUUUUUACCCACACCCUCCCAUUUUUCGGGCGGGCCUUCGGGCCGGGCCGGGCCGCCCAGCCCAUGAUCAGCUCUAAGUGGCAUCAUAUAUCAUCAAUUCGAACUCCAAUCAUUUCAUGAACCUUUGGUUCAUAUUUUCAAUUUCAUAUUUUCAAUUUCAUAUCUAAAUUUUUAAUUCUCAAUUCAAUUUCUCGUUUCAUUUCAAUAGCUUGAUCAAUCAAAUUUAUUCGAUUUAUCUUUCACUUAUUUACCCCUAUUAACAAACCCGGACUUUGACGGAUACACGGAUUCCAACCCAAACACACCAGUACGGCACAUUGUGCCAAAAUAGUACAUAGUACCUAAUCAGUAUACGAUAUAUAAAGUGCCUAAAACGACACACGAGGUGCCUGAUACGACACACGAGGUGCCUGAAAUACGACACAUAAAGUGCCUGAUCGAUAAAGCCGGCAAAUCCCGUACACUUCCAGAUCCUAUGGCAUGCCAAUUAUAUCCGACUCAGCCCGACUAGUUAAUAGGGUAUUUCAUUCACUUUCUCAAUUUAAUAAUUCUUUCAUCAAUAUACCAUUCUGAUAAUCACAUAUAUUCACCCAUUUUCACAAUUCAUACAAUUUCAUUCAAUUCAACAAUAUAUUUCAAUUAUUCACAUUAAUUCAUAAUUCAAUACAAUUCAAUUCACUUUUCAAUAUCAAAUAUUCAAAUAUCACAAUCUCAUAUAUUCAUAUCAAUUUCCUCAUAUUUCCAAUCAAUAUAUUUUUCAAUAUAACAUUCAUUCAAUAUUCAAAUUUCUACAUAAAUCAUGUAUAUUUUAUAAUUCAAUCAAUAUAAAUUCAAUAAAUUUAUCGCAUACCAAAAUCAAUCCAUUCCAAUUGUAAAACAUCAUAAUUCUAACACUAAUAAUUGCAAUAUGUAUAUAAAUAUAACAAAUAAUAACUAAGUUUGGAUUAUAGAAAUACAAACCGUAAUUUUCGAGCUAACUCCCGUUGACUUUGUCUUGUCCUUUCUUAGCCGAGAUUUUCGGUACCACAUUGACAAAUUAACUUGGAACCUUUAAAACCUUAUUUUUCCUUUUUCUUUUCUUUCUUUCUUUCUCCACUGUUUCUUCUCUGUUUCGUUUCCUGCUAUUCUGUUUCCUUCCUUCUUUUUAUUCUUUUGUUUAUUUCCUUUAUUUCCUUUUUAUUUACUUUACUUUUAAUAAUAAUAAUUUAAUAUAUAUUUUCUCAGAUUUUUAUGUUUAUGCCGCCUCACUUAGGACAAAUGGCGUAAUUGCCAUUUUGGUCCUCUUCAUUUUCUUUUAAUCUACAAUUUAACUUUCAUCCUUUAUUCAAUUUAGUCCUUUUUCUUAAUUACUCUUAAUUAAAUUAAAUUCACUUAAUUAAACUCUAAUUAACCACUCAUUUUACUUCGUAAAUAUUUUUAAUAAAUAUUUACGAAUCCGUUUUUCAAAAAUGGAGACCCAAAAAUAUACUUUUUCGAUAACGGUAAAAUUCGGGUCGUUACACAAAGAGAGAACCGAAACCCUGUAAGUUAAGGCACAAUUCUUCGAUAUUCCAAAACGCGAAACAUUACCUUAUUUUGAAAUUUUGUUUUUGAAUUGUAGCGAAUACGACAUUUGAACGACGUAUGUUAUUUGUUUAGGUUAAAAUAAAGCGAUUUAUUGGAUAAAUGUAUUGGAGUCUAAUUCAUGAAGCAAUGAUAUGAAAUACGAUAUAAUAAUGCAUGUGGACGAUAAUACAUGAAUAGCAUCACGCAAAUGUACGACGAUAAUGUGAAAAUACAAGCGAACAUAUUAUGGUGAUACAAUGACAAUAAUGAUUCAACGUACAUUAUUUACACACUAACAUUAGCAAUCGAGGAAUAAUAAAAACAUAGAUAACAAAUAAAAAAAACAGUAUAAAGCGAAUCAAAAUAAAUAAAGCAUAAAAGCUAUUUAAAAUGAUAAUGAAUAAGUUUAAAAAUAAAUAAAGUAAAAAAAUGAAUUUUUUCUAAAAUCAAUGAUGCAUAAAACAAUUUAAAAAAGGAUGAUAUAUAUAUAAAUUUUAGAACAAAUAAUACACAUAUAUGUACAUAAAAGUGUAAAAUGGAUAAUAAAACAUAUAAUGAAUAAUAAAUAGAAUGUUUAAAAUGAAUAAAUAGAAUUUUGAAAGACAUGUGUAUUAUUUAUUUAAAGCUAUUUAGUAUUUUAAAAUAAAUUGUAACAAUUUAUAGUAAUGUUUAUGAAUAAUAUUUUUUACAUAAGAUAAAAUGGUAUAAAGUAUUCAUAAUUGAUCAAUAAAAAUAAUUUAAAAAUAUCAUGUGGAAGACAUACAAAAUAAAGAAAUGUGUAAAAAAAAAACAAACAGUUUAUGAACGUAAAAAUAAAACAAAUAACAUACGUAGAUAUUUAAAAAGAUUGAUAUGUAAAACUUGGAAUAAACAACAAUAAAACAGUUUAAAAAAAAAAAACAAAUGACAAAUUUACAAGUAUCAUAUAAAGUUUGAAGCUGAAUAAAAUAUAACAUCUAAAUAAAUUGUAAAUAGGACAUAUAACAAAAUAUAAUAAACAAUGUGAAAUAAAAGGGGGAAAUGAUUAAAUUAAAAUCAAAGUAAAAGAAAAGGUAUAAAUUAUAAUAAUAGAAAAGUAUCAGGGACCGGAAUGAAACACGCGCCGAAGAGUGGGGGUUAACUGGGAAAUUACCCCCGACCCCCUAUGCGCAGCAUUUCAAUGCAGGACUUAAAUGUAGUAAAACACAAAUUUUCGGGCAAAAUUUUAAAAAGGAAAAGGUGUGAAUUAAACGCAGCGAAAAGUGGAGGGACUCGCCGCACAAAAAUCCCAAUGGAUGCAAAACUCGCGGAUCCUGGCCUAUGCGGAUUGGGUCGAAUCCGGGUAGCCCUAUACGGCGUCGUUUUAGGGCCACUGAGAUAGGCCCUAAACGGCGCCGUUUUGCAACUAAUACAAAAGCAAAAUUUUUUAAAAAGAAAACCCUACUCAGCAGUCAUGUUUCCCCUUUAAAAAAAUUAAAAGUUCUCUCCCCCCUUUAGCCUCCCCCAUGGCCGACCAUGGAUUCCUCAGCGGUCCUCCACGCCCACGCCACGAACGGCGACCGAUAUUGUGCGAGGCGGGCUCUUUCGACCUUCUUUUAAACGGGUUCGAGGACCGAACCUCCCCGACCUGCAGCGCCGCAAGAAAGGAGGGGCCCUUCGGCUCCUUUCUCUCUGUCGCAACCAAUGGCCAGACCCCAGGGGUUCGGCGACCUUUGGAUCGGCGAGAGAAAUGCCGGAGCACACCCCAAAUAGUAAAUCAGAGGUACCUUUUUUAUUAUUUUUUCCUUUUAUUAUUGUCUCAUAAAUAAAGAAAGAAAAAACAAAAUAAAAUACAAAGAUCGGAAUUGAAACGCAAACAAAAUAUUCACUUUCGAAAUUUCUAUUCCUUUUGAUUAAUCUUGUUUUUGUGAGUGUCUGUAAAAAAAAUUACAAAGGUGUAUUUUGGCCUUUUAAAAGCCGAUUCAAACGACUCUCUAUUUCUAUUUCCUUUGUCGUUUCUGCUUUUUUUUUUUGCUGCUUUUGUGGCAUUUAAUUUGUUGCAGGUGUCAGACGGCCCUCAGAGGCGUGUGAAACGGCCAUGACAGAGGCGUGGUGGCCGAGGGGAGGCCAACAGUUCGGCAGCAGCAUGCUUCGGGGCUAGGGCUGCUGCUGUUUUCUCUUCUUUGCAAAGGGCUAGGGUUUAGUUUGUUUGGGCUGUUUUGGGCUAAAAUUUGGGUAGUGGGUUUGGGUUAAUUGAUGUGUAAUGGGUCUGGUUUUAAUUUUGGGCUACACAUGUUGUAAAAGGACUUGAAAUUUGGACUUUUAAAUUAUUUGGUGGGUUUAUUUUGGUUUUAUUGGUUUGGGCCAAAAUUGGCUAUUACAUAUACUUAACUCACGAAUAACUUAAUAUAAUGAGAUUAAUAUAAAUGAAUGGAGAAAUCUCUAUUUAUAAUUGAGUCCCUCAAAUCAACAAUACAAAUUGAGUUAUAUUGAUGGUCAAGAUUGGAGCUUAUUUACAAUUGAGAGUUCUAAGAAAUUUAAAUUCUAUAUAAUCUUAUUCCUUCAUGAUUUACUCUAUUUAUUUUGGUAACUCUAGUUUGGCUAGAUUGUUUUUACCGAACCAUCAAGGUUUCAAGUAAAUGAGCUUCUUCAUAGGUUUAAUAAAUCGAGCCAAUUUAUGUGAGUAAAAGGUUAAAAAAAAAUUCAAAAAUUGAGUGAGUUAAUAGAAAAAAUAUUAAAAUCAACAACUUACUCAAUGGGAAUUGAGGUAUAAAUUUGUUGUGGUGUGGAUUAAACUUUUAAUAGUUACUACCUGUGUAUUAAACUUAUUCACAAUUGAAUCCAAUAACCUUUCAAAAUUUCCAACAAAGAAAAAUAAGCACAAUAAUUUAUACUUUAAGGCUGAAUGGAAAGAGCAUCUUCAUUUAAAAGAAACGCAAUGACAAAAAAAAAGAGUAAGCUUUUUUAACACAAGAUUGUUUCUAUGUAUUUUUUUUGUUUUUUUUUAAAUUUCAAAAUCAAUUAUAGUUUAAUCCUUAUGUAUGUAUUUCUAUAUACAAUAUCUGAAUUACAAAUGGUUUAAUCCUUAAGUAUAAAAAUCCCAAUAAUAUUGCUAAAAAUAUAUCGAUAUUUUUAAAAUUGAAUGGACUGUUAAUGGGUGUUUAUAAGAAUAAUGAUUCAAACAUUCUUACAAGAAUUUAUGUGUAUGUUCUUGGAUGGGAAAAGAAUGUUGGUUUAAAGUCGUUUUGUCCGCAAGCUAUCCAAAAUUCAUCCAUCACUAUAUUCUAUUUUCCUUAAUUAUUUAAUUAACAUUGUUGUGUGUAUAUAUAUAUAUAUUUCAUUCAAUAACAUAUUACUUACAUUUAAUUUAGAUUUUAAAAAUAUUAUUAUAUUAUUAUAAUAUUUUUUAUAAUUUUUAAUUUAAAAAAUUAAUUAAUUAUUAAUGCGAUAAUUCAUAUAUAUAUUAUGUCAGCAAAGUUAACUAAUAUUAAUUUUCUAUUCAAUUUAGAAUAAUUUAAUAAAUAAAAAAAAUAUUAAAAAAGAAUUAUUUGUUCUACUCCUCAAUCCAUACCGAAUUUAAAUAAAGAUUAUUUGACCUCAAGUUUGUGUAAAUUUAAAUUAAAUAGUUUAAACAUAUAUUUAUCUAAGUUUAAUCCUAAUAUAUAAAAUAUAAUAUUGGGAUAUUCUAUUAUCUUUUAAAUAAACAAGACCAAACCCAAUCUAAACCAGAAAAACUUUUUAAAACUGGAUCAUGGCUUGGCCCAGGCAUGAAAACCUCUGGUCCAAACGACUCUAAUACUAAAAACAGGGUAAUGUUAUUAAAUGUGAGAUUAACGUCAUCGUUUACGCGAGCGUCUUGCAUCCGAUACAUUAUGUAGUACACCUGAGAGGCACGCAAUUAUUUCUCCUCUUCUCUCCCUCUCUAUCUCUGCAACUCUCCUCAGGAGCUUUAACAAUGGCGGACUCUUUGUAGCCAAAGACUUCCAGUUUUCCUCUCUUCCUCUCUUCCGCUCUUCCUUUUCUUUUCUCAUUAGUUGCCAAAAUGCGUUCCAAGGAAAAAAUAUCCUACUUUUACGACGGUAUCAUCUUCUUCUUCUUCACUCUUCUUCCUCUCCUCUCAUUUUCACAAUUUAUAACCCCCUUUUUUAUUUUUCUCUAUCUCUUUUGCUUUUAAUUUGUUUAUUUCAAUUUAAAAUCUUUAUUUAUAAUCUCCUUGUUUUCCCUAAAUCUUUGAAAACCCUAACUUUGGUCUCCCCCCCCCCAACAAAUUUUUUUUUUCCAAAUUUAACUAUUUUUCGGUUGUUUGGCAGGAGAUGUAGGGAGCGUAUACUUUGGACCUAAUCAUCCAAUGAAACCUCACCGGCUUUGUAUGACUCACCAUUUGGUCCUUGCCUAUGACCUCCAUAAAAAGAUGGAAAUUUAUGUCAGUUUCUCAAGUACUCCUAACUUUUUCUAAUUUUACUGGCCUAAAUUUCUUUCUCUUCUUUUUCUGACGAUUUGUUCCCUUUGGUGAAUGGUAAAUGUAGCGUCCCCACAAGGCUUACCCCGUUGAACUCGCUCAGUUCCAUUCAGCUGAUUAUGUCGAGUUUUUGCAUCGAAUUACGCCAGAUACGCAGCAUUUGUUCUCGAAUGAAUUGGCCAGAUGUAUGUGUAACAUUUUCUUUUUCCUUUCUCGAAUUAAUAUUAUAUAUUGUGCUAUCGAACUAGUUUAUUCUUAUUAAUUCUCUCUAAUUGUUAAACUAAUGGGUUAAGCCUAGAUUCAAGUUGAUACACUGUAACUAAUUGUAUAGUUAGUUUAAUGCUUGAUCUAGUCUAAGUUUUGAAAAGAAGUUCUAUGGACUGCCUUGUUCAAUAUUGAUGGUUACAGAAGUUUUAAGAACAUAGUAUUGGUGCAAGUGAUAGCGAUCAUGUACUGUUUCUGGCAGUGAUAUGGUUUCAUUUCUCAUUUCAGUUCUCUCCAUUUGACAGAGCUGUUUGCUUUUUUCAUGCUUAUAUGCUGUAGUUUGACUUGGUUAUAUUAUCUGGUUUCAAUAAUAUUUCAGGCCAAAUAAUGUAUAAGGACAUGUUAGCAAUAGUCCAAAGUAUGAGUUAGUUAGCAGUUUUAGGCAGUAGUUAGUCAUGUUAAAAGAAGGCACGUAUUUGAUGGUUAAGACAUGUAUGAACAGGGUUCAAAAUUUUAACUUUCAUCUCCCUCCUCUAUUUUCUUAUUCUUUCCCCUCUUAGAAAUUCUCUAUCAAAAUUGUCAUCUGCAUUUUACCCGUUCCAAUGAACAUGCAAAUAUCAUAUGGAGAAAGGAUUAGGUUAUGCUUUUUCUGAUGUAUAUGGGUUUGGAGUUUGAUUUCCAUCUUUUUCUAUUUUCUUCUUCCCAGACAAUCUUGGAGAAGACUGCCCUGUGUUUGAAAACUUGUUUGAAUUUUGUCAAAUUUAUGCUGGUGGGACAAUAGGUAAAUUCUGAUAUGGUGGGCUGUUUCUCUUAAUUUGAUUUGUGCAUUUUCAGUUGUAAUUGAUUGUCAUGGCUGGCAGAUGCUGCAAGAAGAUUAAACAAUCAGUUAUGUGAUAUUGCAAUAAAUUGGGCUGGUGGUUUACAUCAUGCCAAGAAGUGUGAGGCAUCUGGCUUUUGUUACAUCAAUGACUUGGUUUUGGGAAUCUUGGAGCUUCUGAAGUAUCAUGCCCGUGUUUUGUAUAUUGAUAUCGAUGUACAUCAUGGUGAUGGGGUUGAAGAAGCCUUUUAUUUCACUGACAGGUAGUUUGCUUUUGUUAUUGGAUUGUGAAUUUAGCAUAGGAGCUGGAUUAGACAUCAUUUCAAAAGUUUGAAGCUCAGAAAAGGAGGCAAAAAUGCUGCUUUUUGGGUGAUUUACUGUUAGAAGAAUUAUCCACUUGGGGGGGGGGGUUAUGUUCAUAUAACCAUUUGUAAGGUUUAAAAUUAGAUCAGCUUUGCUUAUUUUAUGAUACCAGUAAGAGGCUUAGCGUCUUCAUGCAUCUCUGAAAUGCCAUUUCAAAUGUUGCACUUUUAAAAAUUAAGGUUGAUAAAUGCAGUCUCUAAUCAACUUGUUGAAAUUCUAUUAUGACAGGGUGAUGACUGUUAGUUUUCACAAGUUUGGCGAUAUGUUCUUUCCUGGAACUGGUGAUGUGAAGGUUAUUCUCAAUUCUUUGCUUUUUAUUGCUGUUAAAUGUUUUAGCAGUAACAGUAGGUAACUUGUUUUUUUUUUUUUUUUUUUGGUGUCACUGGUAAAUUUUAUUGUUAAUAUAUUUGUUCACAAGCUUCAUCUUAUAGUUGCUUUGACUAAAUUGUUUAACAGCUGAGUAUGUUGAUUUUUCCAACUCUGAUUCUUGUUUUAAGUUUUUCACUUUUUAAGUGUUUUAACUGUUCUCAAUGCAUUAUAUAUAUCCCCUGCUAAUAGGAUGCGGCACUCUGGCAUUAUUAGUCUUCAUAAACCGGUUUGUUGCUUAUUGAAGCUUUUAAAUUACAGCUUUUUCUAAGUACAAUGUCUCAAGAAGCAAAUUACCCAUGAUAUUGUUUUACAUAUGCUCUUAUUUAGGAGCUAUACUUGUUGAUGGUGCUAGUCUUUCUUUCAUGCUUUUUCUUUUUGAAUUUAGGGGAGAACAUUUCCUAGCAUAUAAACUUUUCAAGUUAAACUUAUUUAUUGGAGAAAGAGAACUAGUGUAGUUGCGUCCUUCCUGUUAUUUUACCUAUUUGAUUUCAAUUUUGUAUAAUCAAGAAAUUUAUUAUCUACAUCACUUCUAACAUCUUUUUCUCUGGAUAGUUUUUAUCAAGAAAUGCUAGUAUUACUCCAAAUUGAUAUUGGAAUGAACUACUGAUACAAGUUGUAUUGAAGGACAUAGGAGAAAGAGAAGGAAAGUAUUACGCCAUAAAUGUCCCACUCAAAGAUGGAAUUGAUGACACUAGCUUCACUAGAUUGUUUAAGAUAGUAAGUACUCGAAAUAAAAACAUAUAAUAGAAAGGUAAUUGCUUUUUCUAUACCGCUGUAUCAUUUAAACCAUUAUGUGCAAAUACAAACUUUUUGUAGAUUAUUUCCAAGGUUGUUGAAAUGUAUCAACCAGGUGCAAUAGUUCUUCAAUGUGGAGCAGAUUCUCUUGCUGGGGAUCGCUUGGGCUGUUUCAAUCUCUCAAUUGAUGGUACUCAAAUUGACUUGUAAAGUAAGGACUGUUUUUCCCCCUUAAAUUGUUGAUGAAUGUUGGAGCUGUUGAUGUUAUUUGCAGGACAUGCUGAAUGUGUUAAAAUUGUGAAGAAAUUCAACCUACCUUUACUGGUAUGUUGUUUGUUUGACUACCUUUUAACUGCUGUAAAUAAAUUGUAUUUAAAGUAAAGAGAGGAAUCGUUUGUCCUACAGGUUACCGGAGGCGGAGGAUAUACUAAAGAAAAUGUUGCACGUUGCUGGACUGUUGAAACAGGAGUUCUUUUAGAUACAGAACUUCCUAAUGGUAUGCUAAGACUAUCCUCACUUAUUUUCUUGACAUGCUAUCAUGAAAUUGGUAUUUUUCCCAUUCAACUUGUCGUUAGAAUUGGGUUAGCUAAAUUAUUUUUUUAAAGUAUCUAAACAUAUAUGUUAAACUCAUUGAUUACCUCUGCUGAUAUCCUAGGAUGUUUUUCGUUAUGUGAAUGUUAUGUUGAUUGCUGCAUCUGUAUAUCUGCUUGAUAUUGAAAUAAGCUGGUUGAUAGAUUUUAAAGGUCUUUGGUUCGUUCUUCACUGUGUGUGGGUAUGUUUUCGAUAGACAGCUGCUGUUAACAUGUUCCACUGGUUGGAAGAUUGAGAAACUUACUUAAAAGUUUGACUUGUGCAGAAAUCCCAGAAAAUGAGUAUAUCAAAUAUUUUGCACCAGAUUGCUUAUUGAAUAUUCCAAAUGGGCACAUAGUACGUUAUUUUGCACAAUUGAAGUUCAUUCAAGGACUUAUUUCGUCAAUUGAUUGGCGGCUGAUAUGGUCUCGAUAUAGUUAGUAUCGUGCCACAAUGAUGUUAAAGAAGACAGAACCCUCAUAAGCUUUCGUGUUUCGGUUGAUUAUGCAGGAGAAUUUGAAUAGCAAGUCAUAUCUUAGUACGAUCAAGAUGCAAGUGCUGGAAAACCUUCGUAGCAUCCAACAUGCUCCAGGUGUACAGAUGCAGGAGGUGAAUAGCAAACAACUAGUUUCCAAUUAAAUGUGAAUCUGGACAAGCCAGACUACUUGUCAAAAUAUCGGUGGUCUAAUGGCUAUUAUCUGUGUUGCAGGUUCCACCUGAUUUUUAUAUUCCUGAUUUUGAUGAAGAUGAGCAUAAUCCUGAUGAGCGCAUGGAUCGUAAGUAAAUAACGUGUAGCCUAGAGCUGUGGCAUCAUGCUGUGCCUUCAAGCACACUUGUUGCCAUUUGAUUUCUGGUGAAAUCUUUUUCUUUCUGCAUCUAAUACACCUCCUUUGCAUUUUUCUUUACAGAGCACACCCAAGACAAGCAAAUCCAGCGUGAUGAUGAAUAUUACGAUGGUGACAACGAUAAUGAUCAUAACAUGGACAUGUGAAGUUACUCUUAGCAUUUUUUUGUUAGGUAUUAACUUGUAUUUUGUAGGAUCUGCCUGAAUCCAAAUUUGGCUGACACCUCAUCAAAGAAAAAAUUGUGGAAGGAACCACACUAUAAAUUGUUCAUAUGUUGGUUUCAAAAAUGAUUUUGGUUGUAUGUAGUGUUUCACCACAAGCUCUGAAGGAUUUGAUGAAAUAGGAUGUUUAGCAUUUUUUUUAUGCUCUGCAAGUUUAAAUUCUAGCCUUGUCUUCAAGGGGUAGCGCGCUGAUGAACAUAUUGCCUUUUGCUGGUAUGUUAUUGUUAGUACCUAAGGCUUACACUUUCCUAUUUGUACAUGGAUAUCAUGUAAUGUAUUUUUUUUUUCUUCAAAGCUUCUAGUUACAAAGCCAAUUUGCUGGGAUAUUGCUUGUUUUCUGGAGAAAUCUAGUUACAAAGCCAUUGAGAUGUUGAAUGAACUGUAGAAACAUGUUUUCCAUAUCCUUGCAGAAGCAGGUCAUUGUCUAUACAGAAGUUAUGAUUCAUGAAUGCAUUUCAAUAUCAGUUAAUUGCAGUGUUUUUCAUGAUGAGUUUUUCUUUCAUCAAACCGCAUGGGGUCAGUUGCAAGGCUUUAAUUACAACAUAUUCUUCUAUACAUAAAGGCCUCAGAUGAAAGACUAUUGUUUUCAUAUUUCCUCCUCAAAACACCCAUGUCCGUCCCAAGCUACAAAUUCCAAGACUUAAAACAGGGGAUCCAGAUCAGUGUUAAUACCAUAAACACUGAUCUAGGUAAUCUCCAUGAUUCAUUUCUUCAUCAAGGUCAUGAAGAUAAAGAUGAAGAGCUUAUCAGGGUUGUAUUGAGGCAAAACCCUUUGGGACAUUUAUCAUCAUCAGCAUGUUCCGAUGGCGAAGUGAUUGAGAAAACAUUUUCAAUGAGAGCUGAUUUGGAGGAUGAGAAACAACGUUCAUCAUCAUCAUCAUCAUCAUCAGGGAUUGGGAAGGCCAUGAAGAGAGCCUUUUCAAAGAUAGCCUCAUCAGCUUCUGCAGCCAACGAUGUUGUUUAUUGCAGAAUAGAUCAUCAAUAUGACACAGUUCCAGUUGCAGACGAUGAAAAUACAAUCAUGGUGGCCCAUUCAACAAAGGAGUCUGAUAAUAUGGGAAACAAGAUCAAUGAAGCUUGUAGGCGCUUCUUUGGUUUUUAGCAUUAUUUGUUAUUCAAUAAUAUUAUUGUCAUCCUACCUACUAUAUAGUACUAUUCUUCCCUUGCAUGGUAAAUAGCUAAGAUGAUCCCCGCUUCUUAUUAUCACAAUUAAUCAAUACUACGUAUGCAUGGCAUUACAAAUAUUUUUUAUUUUAUUUUUCAGAGACAAUUAUGAACAUUAUGUAUUCAUGUGUGAUUUGAUGAUAGAUCUCAAGUGAAAUCCAUUACAACUUUUGGCUAAAACUAACUAGGGUUCUCUUUAUAAUUAGUCCAACAUUUUUAUUCCUUUCUCUUCUCUGUUCGGCACCCUGCUUUUGCUUUUGUUUUUCAUCUCUUUUCACACGAUGGAAACACCUACGGAGGUUGGACAAUAUGUGCAACAUCAUCAAACUAUGUAGGAGAAAAGUUACUCAACAUACAGAAAGCAAAUAAUGUUGUAAAAUGAAAAAAUAAAAACACUAACCUGAAAGUAGUGGAGCAACCGUGGCAGGAGUAAACACUAACCUGUAAAGAGUUGGCUCAAUACUUGCUUUUUUUUACUCUGAUGCUGGCUAUGCCAUCGUAUAGAUGAAAGAUAUAAAAUAAUUUGCAUCUGAGAUUUGACUUAACCGAAAAUAAUAAUUUACCUCGUUUAGUUAAUCUGAAGAAUGAGACAUAAAUAUAACUCACUUCUGGCGCUGAGAAAAGACCACCCAAGGUGGAACAAUUUUUCUUCUAUCCUGCACUCUCAUCCUUGCCUACAUAAUGUAAGGUUAUGAAUACAUAGAGAUAUGUAAUAACCUGAUAGUCGGGUAAUUAAAAAGUGUAUUUUUGGGUCUCUGUUUUCGUAAAAUAGACUCGUAAAUAUUUAUUAAAAAUAUUUAUGAGGUUAGUUGUGUGGUUAAUUAGGUUUUGGUUAGGUGAAUUAACUUGAAUUAAGAUUAAUUAUGUAUAAGAACUAAAUUGAAUAAAGGGUAAAAUUUUAAUUAUAGAUUAAAGAAAAAGUGAAGGGACUAAAUUAGUAAAUAAACCACAUGUAAACAUGAAUAGUAAAAAAUAUAUACAAGUGUAUGGUAAUUAUAAAAUAUAUGUGUAAUAAAUACAUACAUAUAUUUGUAAUACAUAUAUAUAUUUACUUAUUAUUUAAGAAAAUAAUAUUUUAUUAUUAUUAUUAUAUUAUAUUACUAUUAUAAUUAAAUGAAUAAAACAAAUAAAAUAAAGAAAAUAAAGAAAGAGUAGAACAGAGAAGUGAAACAAAACAGAGGAAAGAAAAAGGGAAAGAAAAAGAAAAGGAAAAUUAGGGUUUUUAAGGUUCCAAGCUUAAGUGGUAAGUUAAUUUAGCUCAUUUUCUUGUAAUUUUUUAGUUUUUGGAAUCUAGGACAAAAUAUUUCUUGAUUUAUGUUGAAAUUUUAAAAGUUAGUAAAUGUUUAGAAGUUGUUCAUGUUGAAUAAAUUGAAGAAUUAGAGAUUAAAUUGAUAGAAUUUUAAGUUAGAAUAGAAAUAUGGAUUGAAUUGUAAAUUAAAUUAUAAGUUUUGAGUAAUAGGGGCUAAAUUGAGAGAAUUUUGAAAUUAGGGUUUUUUGGUGAAAAUUAAGGAGUUGAAAUUAGAUUGAAGUGGAAAUUGAAUUGAUAUAUGGAAUUAGUUUUAUAAGAAAAAGAGUUAGUUUUGAAAGGACUAAAUUGGAAUUUAGGUAAAAGUUGUGUAUAAAUUGAAAUAUUCAAUGUUAAAUUGUGUUGUAUUGAUGAUUUUCAAUUAUUUUAAUUCGUAGCAAACGUUGAGCCGAAGACCUCGGCUAGUAAAGGAAAAGACAAAGUCAAUGAGGAUUAGCUCGGAAAUUACUGUUUGUAUUUCUAUAAUCCGAAUCUAAUAAUUAUUUAUUGUAUUUAUUAUUUAAUAUACAUGGUAAGUGAAACUAAGGUGAGUAUUGGUAUUGUUGAUAUUGAAUUGAAUGUAAGUGAAUUUGUGAUUAAUGUGAAUGUGGAUAUUGGGUAUUGAUUGUAUUGAAAUAUGAAAAUUGAAUUGAAUUAAGUUGAAUUGAAUUAUCAAUCUAUGUGAUUAUUUGAAUUGAAAUAUGUAUUGAUUGGAAAUCGAAAAAUGAUUUGGAAACCCUAUUAACUGUAUCGGGUUGAAUCGGAUAUUUUUGGCAUGCCAUAGGAUUGGAAGUGUUCAGGGAUACUUCGACAACGAGUCGAUGAGACACUGGGUGUCAUAUUAUUACUUUGGAUAAAUUCAAUGAGGUACCGGGUGCCAACUUACUUCGGCAAGGCCGAUGAGACACUGAGUGUCAGCUUAUUACUUCAAAUUAUCCAAUGAGGCAUUGGGUGCCAUACUGGUGUGUUUUAGUUGGAUCCGUGUAUCCGCCAAAGUCGAGUCUUGUUAAUAGGGGUAAAUAAAUAAAUUGGUAAUAAGAUUGAUAUUGAAUGACAAUGAAUGUGAAUUUGAAAUUGGAUAUUAAUUUGGAUUGUACAAUAGCGAUACAUGGACUAAGAGUUCAUGAAAAGAGUAUUGUUAUUCCCAAUUGAUAUGUGAAUCAAAGUGAGAAAGCAAUUGAUGAGAAAUGAAAGCAAUAAUAGAUGAAUAGAUUUAUUGAUUAGUUAAUGUUUAUCUAUGAUUAAAGUGUAUAUUUUAUACAAUGUUAUUUAUUUAAAGUAUUCGGAUUAUAGAAAUACUACUAAGUUUAUACUUAGCGUACGAUUUAUUUUCUAUGCGCAGGUUAGGUUAAAGUUCGAACGUUGAAUCAGCAUCCAAGGCCGAUCCCGAACUCAUUGUGGUGAAGUACAUUUCUUUUUGGUAAGUGGCAUGUACCUAGGAUGUUAUGUUUGUUAUUUUGAAAAAUGAUUAUAAAUGAUGUUGUAUUAUGAUAAUGGUUGGCUUUAUAUACAUAAAUAUAAGUCAAGUGUUUGUUAAGGUGACAAAAUGACAUAUUUUGGUUAAAGUAUGAAUGAAUUUGUUAUAUGCAAAUUUAGAUUGAUUUGGAUAAAACAUAUGAAAAGUUUAUGAAUGAACAUUAGUUAGCUUAAUUAAGUUGAUUAUUUGGCAUGAUUUGGAUGUAUUUAAUUGUGUUUUGAAUUGAUUGAAUAAUUGGUUGUUGAAUUGCUUAGGUUUAAGUUUGCAGGGUUGGUAAAAUUUGAGGUUGAAGGCUCAUUUUGAGUCCACACGGCUUGGCACAGGGGCGUGUGACCAGACUGUGUGAGACACACGGCUUACACAUGGGCGUGUGGAUAGGCCGUGCGUCCCCUGCAAUUUAAUUUUUUUCAAAACAGAAUGCUUAGGUUUUGCCACAUGGGCAGAGACACGGGCAUGUGUCUUAGCCGUGUGAGGAACAUGGCCUAGUACACGGGCAUGUGUCCUGGUCGUGGGAAAACUGCACCUAAUUUUCGAAAAAUAAAUUGACCACACGGUCUAGCACAUAGACGUGUGGCUUGGCCAUGUGAGGUAAGUCAGGGAGUUACACGGGGUAGGAUACUGCCUGAAGCACAGGCAUGUCAUAGGGUCACACGAGCAUGUCCCUUGACCACAUGGGAGUGUGAGCUCUGCACCUAGGAAAAAUUUUGAAAUUUCGCGAAAAAUUCUCUGAGUUUCCAAUUGAGUCCCGAUUUGAUUUUGACAUGUAUGCUUAUUGAAUUGUGAAAUGUUUGUAUUUGUUCUGAAAUGUUAGGUAAUGCUCCGUAACCCUGUUCCAACGACGGAUAAGGGUUAGGGUGUUACAAGAGAAGUCUUCUUCACUUUGCUUGCCGGAUUUUCUACAACCAAAACUUUCCAUUUAUCCUUCAUACCAGUAGAGCUCAAAUGCACAUUCUCUUUUUUCUUUUGUUUUUGUUUUUCUUUUGUUUGAGUUUGAAAGUUGUAAUAUCCCGAAUUAGGGCCUAAUCGGAAUAGUGGUUUUGAGACCACAAAUUCGAGAUAGAAAUAAUUAUUUUAUAAUUUUUUUUGAGGUCUAUGAUAUGAUUGCAUGAUUGUGUGAAAAUUUCGUGACAAAAUUCUAUGCAUAAAGUGCUUACGUUGAGAUUAGGGACUAAAUCGAGUAAUUUGCAAAACUUGCAUUCUAGAAGUUUUUAGUAUGAAAUUGCUUUGGAAUAUUAAUGAGGAGGUCUUAAAUAGCAAUUUGACCAAUUUCUAAGUUUAUGGACAAAAAUUUGGACAUGGAUGGAAUUUUUGAAAGUUUAGUAAGGAAGGGUAUUUUGGUCAUUUUGAUAUUAAAUGAAAUAAAAUGGGAAAAAUAACACAAAAAUGGUCAUCUUCUCCAUAAGUUGCUGCAAAAUUUUUCUCUCCACCAUAGCUAGGGUUUCUUCAACUUUCAAGCUUCAUAGUAAGUGAUUUCAAGCCCCGUUUUUAAUGAUUUUUAUGUUUUUGAAAUUCCGGUAGCUUGAUUUAGCUUAUGCUAGCAAUAAUUCAACCUAGGGUUCAUAAUUGGAAAAAUACCCAUAGGUAAAAUUUGUGUAUUUUGGUGUUUUAUGAUAGAAUAUGAGGUUUUAAAUUAUGUUAGACAACUUGUGCUACUCGGUUUUAAGUGAAAACGAGUAAAAGGGCUUAAUCGGUAAAAAUACCUAAUAGUCAUAAGUACAUGUUAAAGUGAGAAUUUGAUGUUGCCAUAGAAGGGAAAAAUGAUCAGCAUGUCAUAAAACAUAAGAAAAUAGGAUGAAGUUUAAUUCCCGAGCCUAGGGGAAAAAGUGUAAUUAUGUAAAAGUUUAGGGGCAAAAUUGUAAUUUUUCCAAAAUAUGAUUUUGGGUUGAUUUGAAUAAUAUCAGGCCUAAUUAGGCUAUAUUUGAAAUGAUAGAGUAAGAAAAAUCAAUAUUCAGGCUAAAAUCGACAAAAUACCAAGUUGUGGACAAAAUGGUAAAAAUGACCAUUUUCGCAUACGAGGUAAGUUUAGGUGUAAAUGUAGUAACAUAAUUGUCAUUUUAAGUAAUUUAAUGUUAUUUAUAUGAUAUGAUGAUUAAUAUCAUGAAAUAUUAUGCUUUGUGGUUAUUAUUGAGUAAUAUGCAAACUAUGUGUGCUACUUGUUAAAUAUGAAUUGCUUUAUUAUUCCGAAGAGUUCAACGGGGAAAUCGAUUAAGUAAAAAUACAUGUUAACAUGAUUAUAUGAUCAAUAAGUGCAGGCUACUAUGCGUACUCAAUGACUUCGAUCACGUGUGUAGUACUAAGUGCAGGCUACUACGUGUACCGGAUAAUUGGUCACGUGUGUAGUACUAAGUGUAGGCUACUACGUGUACCGGAUAAUUAGUCACGUGUGUAGUAUUAAGUGCAGGCUACUACGUGUACCGAAUAAUUGGUCUCAUGUGUAGUACUAAGUGCAUGCUACUAUGCGUACCAGAUAGCUUGGUUACAAAUGUGGCACUUAUGUGCAUGAAAUCCGUGUAUUCGAAUCAUAUUCCGAUGUGUUCAACGGGUAAAUCUUAAGUGGAUAAGGUGAGUACCUAAAACGAAGGUGACGUGUUGGUAAGUGUGGUGAAUGAGAAAUAUGAUACGAAUGCUUUGGUGAUAUUAUGCAAAUGUGGACUUCGUAUUAUUGCAUGGUUAUGUUACUUGCUAUUUACAUGUGAACUUACUAAGCAUUUAUGCUUACUCCCUCCCUUCCAUUCCUUGUAGUUUUGACAAGCCGGCUUGGAGAUCAGGACGGUCGGAAGCACGCUCACACUAUCAACGGACCAUCUCGGUAUAGUGGCUUGCAUAUUUUGGGAAUAUGGCAUGUAUAGCAUUAUAAUCUUUUUGUGUAUAGAAUCUUAUGAUAUGGUGAAUGAGUGAUGUGGAAAUGCUUGUUGAUGAUUAGCUAUUGGAAUGGCUAAUCAAAAUUUAUAUUUAGUGUUAUGUAUACUUAAUGUAUUACCUACUCCAUGGAAAACCAUAAAAUGGUGAAAUUGGCUAUAAAAUAGUGUCAUACAACAGCAGUGACGUGAAUUUGAAAAAUCAAUAAAAAUAGAAUUAAAUGAUGAAUAAGUUAUGGAAUCGAAGUUUGAUGAGUCUAUUUUCAUAUGGAAGAAACGAAACAAGUAAAUGAGUUAUAUUUUAUGAGAUAUUUAAAUUUUGGUGGAACAGGGUCAGAGCGAUCUCUAUAUCCCCUGUUCUGACUUUAAAAAUUUACCAUAAAUUUUACAAAAACAAUUAGGAGUUGUACCUUACAUGUAUGAAAUCCUUAUUGAGUCUAGUUUUAUGAGAAACAAACGGCAUAAUCAUUGAGACUCUGUACAGGGAGAUAUUUGAUUUGUAAUACAUAGGGGUUAGAGUAGUCGAACCCUAAAACAGGGGAGACUUUAACCAAUAAACUGUACUAAUUGGACCGACCAAAAAUUCUAGAAAAAAUUUAGUAGAUAGAUAUAUGAAUCUAGUUUCAGGAAAAAUUUACGGAAUUGGAUUUCGAGUUUUUUAACUCGAGAUAUGAAUUUUUAAGCGACUGUGAUGCAGUUAGCCAGCUUGUCCGGAAAUUUUAAAAUAAAUUGUAUGAAUUGUUUAAUUAAUGAUUUAAGUUUAGUAACUCCUCAAGCUCGACUCUGGCGAUGGUUUCGGGCGUGAGGGCGUUACAAAGCUUCUUUUCCAAUUCAACUUCUACCUUUUAGCUACCUUUUUAAAAAAAAAUAAUAAUAAGGUGCUGAAUAGAGGGAAGAGAGAAGAGGAAGAGAAAAAAAUAAACUACUUAUAGAGAGAUCCUUAGCUUUAGUCAAAAGUUCAUAUAUAAAUUACUUAAUUGGCUAAUGUGUCAUUCAAUAUAAGUGACUAAUUAACUUAAUUAGAGUGAUUAAAAUAAAAUAAAAUUUAGAGUGAUCAAAAUAAGAUAAAUCCGAUUUUAAAGUGAUCAUGGAUGUAAUUUACCAUUUUAAAUCAAUUUUAGUAUGUUUUUAUUUUAAUCAUUUUAUUUUUUAUAAUUACAUUAAAAAAAUAUAAUCAUUAAAUUAAGUUAUUUAAUCUAAUGAAUAAUUUUAAGAUUUUUAUUUUUAUAUAAAUCCAAUUCUACUAUGUAAAUAUUUAUAUGUAAUAUGUUUUUAUUAAAAAAUAAAAAUUAAGACUAUAAAUAUAUAAAAAAUAAUAAUAAAUUAAAAAAAUAUAUCAAAACGAGCUAUUACCGAUACUGAAAAAAAAUUAUAUGUACAUUUAGAAAAAGUUUAAUAAUUUAUCAUUUUGUGUUGUAGUAUAUUAAUAGAAAAAAAUUUAAUUGUUAAAAUCUGAGUGCACAGGAUUAUUCAGAUUUAAAUAAUAUGAUUUUAAUUCUUUUAAAAAAUAUAUUUAUUAUUAAUUUAUUUAAUAAUAAUUAAAUAUCAGAGAAAUGAUUAAAAAAUUUCUAUUUUUAAACCAACAUAAUUCAACAAUGUGUCACUGGAAAGGCCCCCAUUUCAGUCCCCAUAAAAUGCCACACGUGCAAACGUCAUUGCCGCAACUCAUAAUUAUUCAUCAUUUUUCAGGAAAAAGAAGAGCAUUAUCCAAUUCUCCCCUAAUUUUGGUUUUAUCUUUUUAUUUGUGACCCAAUCGAUAUUCACCAGAUUAUCCCCCUACCCGACCAAUUGGGCAUUAGAAUUAGACAAUACGGCGCCGUUUUGAGUUGUCUCCAUUCUGGUCCAUCCUAGAUUUCCUAUCAAGGCGAGAACGAGCAAAGUUGUUUGGAUACCGAGAAAACUACAUACCUUAUCCAAGAACCUGUCUUUUCCCGAGAUAAAAAAAAUCUGGGGAUGGUCCUUCCUUUUGCUUCAACCAAACUGAUAAAUAUCCUUUGAUUGUACAGAGGUGAGUUUGAUCCCCACUUUCUUUAGCUUCACAGGGAACUGAAUAUCCAUAAUCUUAUUAUUUUAUUCAUUAAUCGAUAAUUUUGGUUUUUUUUGUGUCAAAUAGGUAGUUGGUUGAAGAAAUUAACUGAAUUCAGUUUAGGGUUCAAGAUUGAUGGCGCUGUCAGAAGCAUCUUUGUGUUUAAAUCAUAUGCUUUUAUCCAACUCUAGUUCAAAUUUUGGAAAACAACGAAAUCUAGGGUUAGUACAAUUCCAUCAUAGUUUAAGAACAUUGGGAAAUGGAAUAAAGAGGUGUGGAUUUAGGAGUAUCAGUUUUUGUAGUACUGAUAGAACGAACCUAACAAAAAGAUCAUGUCUCUUGAGCUGCAAAUGCCAAAGGGCUGAUAGGGUUAGUGGAUUAACCGCAGAUGAUGGAAGACCCGCAUCACUUUCUAUAAAUGGUAAGACUAAUGUGAGUAAUGUUCAAGAGUUGAAUGAACUGUUGCAAUCCGAUGGGGAAGGGGUUGCCAGUGGUGACACAAAUGGGGGCGGGACAGUAGGUGGUAGGAAAGGGAUUGAGGAAGAAGCAUGGGAUUUGCUAAAGGAGUCUGUUGUUUAUUAUUGUGGUAAUCCGAUUGGAACAAUUGCUGCAAGCGAUACGAGCAGCUCAAGCAUUCUAAACUAUGAUCAAGUCUUUAUCCGUGACUUCAUACCUUCAGGGAUAGCUUUUCUAUUGAAGGGAGAAUAUGAUAUUGUUCGGAAUUUCAUUCUGCACACUCUUCAGUUGCAGGUAAUAUAAUGCCCAUCUUAUUUCUCUGAUCAAGCAUUACAAUUGGAUUACUAGUUUGGAGCAUGAAUUGAUACGUUUCAAUUGAUUUACUGUUUUUCUUUUUAAAUCUUUAUCGACAGAGCUGGGAGAAAACCAUGGAUUGUCAUAGUCCUGGUCAAGGGCUGAUGCCUGCCAGUUUCAAAGUGCGUACUGUUCCACUUGAUGGUGACAAUUCUGUGACUGAAGAUGUAUUAGACCCUGAUUUUGGUGAAGCUGCAAUCGGUCGUGUUGCUCCGGUUGAUUCUGGUAAGAGAAUGUUGCGUUGUAUUCUCUCUCUGACAUACAUCUUGGUAUACCUCAAUUUGUAGUUAACCCAAGAGAUUAAUGAUUCAAAUUUUUAUCUCACGUCCAGGACUAUGGUGGAUUAUACUUUUACGAGCUUAUGGAAAAUGCACCGGAGAUCUUUCAGUGCAAGAGAGGGUUGAUGUGCAAACUGGGAUUAAAAUGAUCUUAAAGCUCUGUCUCGCUGAUGGCUUUGACAUGUUUCCAACUUUGUUAGUGACAGAUGGUUCUUGCAUGAUAGAUCGUCGCAUGGGAAUUCAUGGUCAUCCUCUGGAAAUACAGGUUUAGUACUUUUUAAAAUGUUUGAUGUGGACCUUUGAUUAAGUUGCUCUUUUGAGGAAUAUGUUCUUGGUAGCUUCAAAAUUGGAGGCAAAUCUGUACCCUCUCUGUAGUGCAACAUUGUUAAUCUUGAGGCAACAUUGUUUUAAACUGUGGACCUCCUCCUCUCCUCCUUUAAGUGAGAAGAAACAUCUUUAUCCGUUAGUACUCUAUAAUAUUUUUCAGGUUUAUAGUUGCUUUUUAUCUUAUAGAAACUGAAGUUUAAUGAUAGUUGGCAUGUUCAUUGUUAAGUAGAGAUAUAAAGGCAUCCAUUUGCAUAAAAUGAUUUGUGUUCUUGCAGGCACUCUUUUAUUCGGCAUUACUUUGUGCACGUGAGAUGCUUGCUCCUGAAGAUGGUUCAGCUGACCUUAUAAGAGCUCUUAACAAUCGUUUAGUUGCAUUAUCAUUUCACAUCAGAGAAUAUUACUGGAUUGACAUGAAAAAGCUUAAUGAAAUUUACCGUUACAAGACAGAGGAGUAUUCAUAUGAUGCGGUUAAUAAGUUCAACAUCUACCCUGAUCAAAUCCCUUCCUGGUUAGUGGAAUUUAUGCCUUGUAGGGGAGGUUAUUUGAUUGGAAACCUGCAGCCAGCUCACAUGGAUUUCCGUUUCUUUUCACUUGGAAACUUAUGGUCUAUUGUUGGCGGCCUUGCAACAGUUGAUCAAUCACAUGCCAUAUUGGAUCUUGUUGAAGAAAAAUGGUCGGAGUUGGUGGCUGAUAUGCCAUUGAAAAUAUGUUAUCCUGCUCUUGAGGGCCAGGAAUGGCGAAUUAUCACAGGAAGUGACCCCAAGAACACGUAUUGCCUUCACCCAUAUGAUUACGCUUUUUCUUUCUUCUCAGUAAUUAACUAUGGCAAUACAUUCCUAGUUCUUCCAGCCAUACUUAAAGAUUAUUUUUUUUUAUUGCAGUGCCUGGUCAUACCACAAUGGAGGUUCUUGGCCAACUUUGCUUUGGCAGGUUAGUUUAUUCUUUCCAAACUAAGAAAACACUACCAGCUGAUUAAACAGCUCGACACAUUUACUGAUUUACGUUCAUAUCUUUCAUUGUACUUUCAUCUUGAGUUGUGAAAAGUUUUACACCCAUACAGUUGCGAAUUGAUUGAGAUGCCUUCUGAUCUUAAUUCUCCAUUAGAGUUGUUUCUUGUAAUUAACAUAACCAUGGUGCUGUUCCAGCUCACUGUGGCAUGCAUGAAGAUGAACAGACCAGAGAUUGCUGAAAAAGCUGUCAUGCUUGCUGAGAGACGCUUAUCUAGAGACAAGUGGCCAGAAUACUAUGACACUAGAAGAGCGAGGUUUAUCGGAAAGCAGUCACGGUUGUUUCAAACAUGGUCUAUUGCUGGAUACCUUGUGGCAAAGCUUCUCCUUGCUAACCCUAGUGCAGCAAAGGUUCUUAUAACUGAGGAGGACUCUGAACUUGUAAAUGCGUUUUCUUGCAUGCUCAGCGCCAACCCAAGGAGGAAACGCGGCCGUAAAGGGUUUAAACAGCCCUUCAUCAUAUGAGCUAAGCUUAUAUUGAAGAUUCUGCAAAGGUUCCUAUGAAGUAUUCAGCUUUUUGCAUGUGUUGAAAGAAAACCGAGUACGACCACAGGGUUGCUGUUUUGGCACUACCUAGCAAGCUAUGUUCAUACCUUGGAUUAUAUACUAUAUAGUCACUAUACGUAACAUAGCUGUGUUUUGGCAGUUAGGUCUGCUGUCAGCUUGUUAUAUCCGCUUUCUAGUUUAAUACAUACAAACUCCAAUUAUAUCUAUAUUGAUAUAUAUUUCCAUUGAGCAAAAAAUAUGUAUAUAUUUUCAACCCUUAGAAGUAGGAAGGGAGAGUAGAAAAGUGAAAAUAAAAUAAAAUUUGAGUGUGUUUGAUAGAAAAGAUCAAAUAGAGGAAAGACAACACUGGGAGUUGAUCAUUUUUUAUUUUAAUACAUAAAAAUAAAUCUUUUCAAAUUGGAAUAAUAAUAAUAGAAAAAGAGAGAGAUACAAGUAAAUUCAAAUUAUGCGUCUUGGAAGAUAUUAUUUUCUUUCUUCUUACUUUUUAAACUCUACCAAAGAAAAAAUGGAAAGAUGAAUUCUCUUUUUUUCUUUCAAUUUUUCCAUCUAUCUAUCAUGCACAUCAAUAAAAAGAAAACAUAUAUUUUCGAUCUUUCUAUUUUUUACCCUACCAAAUAAAAAUAUGAAUAGAUUAAUUUUUUUACAAAUAAAGGAAAACUAGAUUUUUCUAUCUUUUUAAAUAAAUAGUUACUUAUAUUUUUAUAAAAAUAGGUAAAACUUAGACCUAUCAAGCAAAUUAGACCUUUCAUUUUCCUUUAAAAUAAAUAGUUAUUUUCUUUUUUAUAUAAUACUUUUUUUAUUUUUUAUUUAAUUUAAUAUCUAAAACUAAAAUGCUAUUAAAUUAUAUUUUACUUUGUACUAGUUCUUAGUUCGUAGUUCGUGAUGAUAUAAUUUGAUUCGACUGUGUAAUAAUUGGGAUAAUUCAUUUGUUAAAUAAAAUGCAAUUUGGGAACAUGUCAAUGGUGAACAUUGAAAUUGAGGGAAACCAUGUUUGUGGGGAAGUAAUUCAGUGGUGGAAACCAUAAAAAGGCGAUUCAGGAAUAUGUCAAUGGUGAACAUUGAAAUCAAAGAAAAUUAUGUUUAUGGGGAAGUAACUCAAUGGUGGAAACCAUAGAAGGGUAAUUCAGGAACAUGACAAUGGUGAACAUUGAAACUGAGGGGAACCAUGUUUGUGGGUUAACUCAGAUGAUGAGUUACUUUGCAGAGGAGAUAACUCAGUAGGUCAACUCGAUGUUCCUUUAAGAAAAGGGUUGAACUUUGCUACAAGGUUAGCUCUUGGUGAUGGGUUUAGCUCUGGGAUUAGGAGAUCAAAUGGGAUAUUGUUUGUUGGGGGUUCAUGAAUGAAAGCGCCAUUGAAGGGAUUCUGUUGUUUAAAAAUGAUAAUUUUUUAUUUUACCUAAAUGACGUGGAAAAUAAAAAUUUUAGAAAAAAUCCCAGGUUAGAUUUAUGUUUAUCAAUUUAAUAAAAGUGAUUAAAAUGAUCAAACUAUUUAAUAUGAGUAUUUAAAUUAAAAAAAAAUUGAAUGCCUAAAAUAAUUUUUUUUGAAAGUUUGGUAACUAUUUAUAUGGUUUACCCUAAUUUAAAAUAUAUAAAUAUAAAUUAUUAUUAUUAAAAAUACAUAAUAUAUUAAACAACGAAUAUAUAAAUAAUAUUUCUUUACUUUUAAAAUUUUAAAAUAACAUCAAUUAUAAAAAAAAGUAUUCAUGUUUUAAAACUAAUUUUAAAUACAAUGUUAAACUAAAAAGCUUAAAAAUAGAUUAAAAUUUUAAUUAUGUAUUAAAACCACAUUUUCCUAUAACAAUAUAUAAAGAUACAUAGGAGGAUAAGGACUGCGAUUGUAUGUUAGUUGGGCAUUUUUUAAGGUAUGGUGUAAACAUAUAUAUAUAUUUUUAUCUUGUAUGUGUAUAUAUAUAAUGAUUUAAUUUCAAUAUUUUAAUUUCUUUUACCAUAAAUGAUUUAAUAUAUUUUAAUUAAUAAAUAGAAAGAAGAAAGAAGUCAAAAUUGCAUAGAAAAGGGGAAGAGACAGCCUUGCAUGAAAAGCAAUUACAAUAAAAUGGUGAAAUUAAUUAGUGAAGUUAAGAAAGCUACCCAACUUUGGCUACAUUAAUUGUUGAUUGAUACAAUAAUCAUAUGCCAGCUGGUUGCUGCAUUUUGGGUAACAUUCACCUUCUCAUACUUAAUGUUUUCACCCAACAAUAACAAAUAUUAAUGUAUUAGGAUACAUAUUUGUAAAUAAUAAGGGAAGAUCUAUUCCUGCUAAUCAAACCAUUCAUUAAUGGACAAUUCAAGCUUUUCAACUUACAAACUUGAUGGGCAUGGCCCCAAGGGUCCCACUAUCUGUUUGUGUGCCCUAAAUAUAUAUUUACACAAGUGUGGGCCAGCAACUUUUCUUAUGGUGAACAGUGUGUUGCAAGUCAAAAGAGAAAGAAAUGAUAUAUUGUUAUAGAAAAAUUAAUAAAACAAUAAAUAAAAGUGGAUGAAAAUACGUGAUAAUUUUUUAUUGUAUUAUUUUCACUUACAAUGUACUAUUUAUAAGCUGCUUUACAUUUAAUUAAUAAAUGUAUUUAAUGAAUUAAGUUUUCUUAAUUACUCCAUUUAAUGAUCUCUUGAUUAUAAAUGAAGUAAUGAGUUUUAUCUCUUUUCUUUAAUAUGCUUAAGGAGGUUAUAGACAUCCAUUUACUUUACAACACUCCCUCUUGGAUGUCUUUUUAAAUAAAAAUAUGCCUCAUUAAAACCUUUAUUAGGAAAAACCCUGUGGGAUAAAAACCUAAUGAAGGAAAAAUAGUACACAAUCUCCUAUUACAAGUUGCCUCGUUAAAAUCCUUUACCAGGAAAACCUAGUGGGACAAAACCUUGGUUAAAGAAAAAGAGUACAACAUGUUUUAGACUCCCCCUAAUGACGACAUCACAUUAUAUAUUUGAGUCGACGUAUUCCAACCUUGUUUCGUAGUCAUUCAAAUGUUGAAGUUGGCAAUGCCUUGGUAAAAAGAUCUGCUAAAUUAUCACUAGAACGAAUUUGUUGAACUUCUAUGUCACCUUUCUUCUCAAGAUCACGAGUGAAGAAUAAUUUUGGUGAAAUAUGUUUCGUUUUGUCACCUUUGAUAUAACCACCCUUUAAUUGACUUAUACAUGCUGCAUUAUCUUCGUAUAAGAUAGUUGGCAUAUUUUCCGGUAAAGGCAAAUUACAUAUCUUCUGGAUAUGUUGGGUUAAUAGCCUUAGCCAAGCACACUUUCGGUUUGCCUCAUGCAUUGCAAUUAUUUCGGCAUGAUUUGAAGAGGCAACAACUAAUGUUUGCUUUGUCGAACGCUAUGAUAUGGUAGUACCUCCACAUGUAAAUAAAUAUCCCGUUUGAAAUCGACCUUUAUAUGGAUCCGAUAAAUAUCCAGCAUCAGCAUAACCAACUAAUAGGGAUUUUGAAUCAUUUGAAUAAAAUAAACCCAUAUCAAUGGUCCCUCUAAGAUAUCUAAAUACAUGUUUAAUUUCAUUCUAAUGUCUACAUGUUGGAGAAGAACUAAAUCUGGCUAACAAGUUUCAGCAAAAGUUAUAUCAAGUCUUGUGUUACUUGCAAGAUACAUCAAUGCUCCUAUGGCACUUAGAUAUGGCACUUCAAGACCAAGAAACUCUUCAUCAUUCUCACAAGGAUGAAAUUAUUCUUUAUUCACAUCUAACGGUCGUACAACUAUCAGGGUACUCAAUGGAUGUGCUUUAUCUAUAUAAAAUUUAUUUAAGAUCUUUUUCGUAUAAGUUGACCAUUGGACAUGAAUUCCAUCUCUUAAAUGCUCGAUCUGCAGGCCAAGAUAAAAUUUUAUUUUUCUAAGAUCUUUCAUCUCAAAUUCUUUCUUUAAAUAAUUUACUGCAUUUUGAAGCUCUUCAGGAGUUCCAAUAAUGUUGAGAUCAUCAACAUAAAUAGAAAUUAUCACAAAGUUUGAUUUAAACCUUUUUAUAAAAACACAUGGGUAGAUUGGAUCGUUUUUAUAACCUUCUUUUAACAAAUAUUCACUAAGAUGAUUGUACCACAUAUGUCCAGAUUGUUUUAAUCCAUAUAAACUUUUCUUGUACCAUAUAUGUCCAGAUUGUUUUAAUCCAUAUAAACUUUUCUUUAAUCUGAUUGAGCAAUUUUCCCGGGAAACUCUAUAUCCUUCAAGGAUUUUAAAUCCUUCUGGGAUUUUCAUAUAAAUUUCAUUAUCAAGUGUACCAUACAAAUAGGCUGUAACAACAUCCAUUAAACGCAUGUCAAGUUUUUCAUGUACUGGCAGACUAAUAAGGUAUCUAAACGUGAUUGCAUCCACCACAGGAGAAUAUGUCUCUUCAUAAUCAAUGUCGGGCCUUUGCGGAAAUCUUUGUUCUACAAGUCGUGAUUUAUAUGUUACGACUUAAUUUUUCUCAUUUCAUUUUCGCACAAAUAUCCAUUUAUAUCUUACCGGCUUUACAUAUUUAGGUGUUUGGACUAUAGGUCCAAAAACCUCACGUUUAGAAAGUGAAAUUAAUUAUGCUUGAAUUGCAUCUUUUCAUUUUGACCAAUCUUUUCUAUUUCUACAUUCCUCAAUAGAUUUAGGCUCAGGAUCCACAUUUUCUUUUGUUAUUUCAAUAGCAACAUUAUAAGAAAAAUUGUUGUCGGCAACUAUAUUUUUCGGUUCCAUCUUUUUCCUAAAGUAACAUAACUUAUUGAGAUUUAUUCGUUAUCACCAUUUUCAGGUGCCUGAACCUCUUCUGGGGUUUUUUGAUUAGUUAUAUCUUUGGCCUCUUCUUGGGCACUUGCCUCCACAAUAUUACUAUCUUGAAUAAUUGUUCCUUUCCUUUUACGAGGAUUUUUAUCUCUGGAACCGAUUGGCCUUCCACGCUUCAGGUGUGUAUUACUUUAUUUUGAACUAACAAUAUACCCUAUUGGGAUAUCAAUUCGUAUUGGAGCAUUUUUAGCUGGUAUGUGAGAUUUUGUAAUUCUCUUUAGGUCAGUAAAUAAAUCUGGUAGUUGAUUGGCAAUGUUUUGCAAAUGUGUGAUCCUUUGAACUUCUUGUUCACAUAGACUUGUGCGAGGAUCUAAUUAAGAUAAUGAUGAUCCAUUCCAUGUGUUACUUUAUUUUGCACUAACAAUAUACCCUAUUGGGAUAUCAAUUUGUAUUGGAGAAUUUUCAGCUGGUAUGUGAGAUUUUUUAAUUCUCUUUAGGUCAGUAAAUGAAUCUGGUAGUUGAUUGGCAAUGUUUUGCAAAUGUGUGAUCCUUUGAACUUCUUGUUCACAUAGACUUGUGUGAGGAUCUAAUUGAGAUAAUGAUGAUCCAUUCCAUGUAUUACUUUAUUUUGCACUAACAAUAUACCCUAUUGGGAUAUCAAUUCGUAUUUGAGCAUUUUCAGCUGGUAUGUGAGAUUUUGUAAUUCUCUUUAGGUUAGUAAAUGAAUCUGGUAGUUGAUUGGCAAUGUUUUGCAAAUGUGUGAUCCUUUGAACUUCUUGUUCACAUAGACUUGUGCGAGGGUCUAAUUGAGAUAAUGAUGAUCCAUUCCAUGUAAUUUCUUUGACCAGUUGUGUAGCAACGUAAAAAUUUCGCUUUGGUCACUAAUUGAGGCGAUUUCUUGAAAAUUUGAAAACUGACUUUCAAUUUUACUAAAAAAGAGUCGCCACCGAUCUUUUCCUAGGUGUGAUUGGACACCUAAUAAAUCAUCUUUUUAGAAAAUAAAAUUUAUUCUUGAACAAAAAUGAAGGUCGAAUUUAGGUCUACGUCAAAAGCCAGAGAAAAAAUAGGGUUCGGGAGUUGGUUACGCACGAGGAAGGUAUUAGCACCCUCACAACGCCCAAAAUUGGUAUCUCAUUAAACAUGUGUUGCCUUAAUUUUCGAAAAUGCGAGUUCAAUGUAACAUUUAAUCAUGAUCCGAUCAAAACACGAGAAUUUUUAUAAUUUCGAUUUCUUUUGAGAAAGACGUUCCGUUUUUAACACGAGCCAAUGAUAUUCACCCAUCAUAGCGAUGAAAUCAACGACUUAAUGUUAAAUUGGCACGUUGCCUUAUUUAUUGAAAUUAAAAAAAAUGAAUAAAAUAUUUUUUAAAAUAAAAAUUCAUAAAUAAAUGAACGGUGCAAACAAUGAUAUAAUGAAUGAAAAAUAUUAACAUAUAAUAUAAGAGCAUUAGGAUAAAAACAAAAACAAUAUUUACAAUAAAAAGAAAAUAAUAAUAAAAAUAAUAAUAUGCUAAUAAUAUAAUAAGAAAAGCAAACUGGUACAGAAUGGGUAAGAACACAAAUAAUAGAAUUAGAAAUACAUUGAAGCAAAUAAUAAAUACGACAAUAAUAUUAAAAACAAUAACAAUGCAUGCGAUAUUAAACGUAAUAAUAGUAUUAAACACGAAAUAAAAACAAUGAAUAUAUAUAUACAUAUAAUAAAAGUUAGUAAAAUGAUGGAAACAUGAUAUUAAAAACACUAAUAAUGUUACCUAUAUACAUACGUACAUAUAUUAAAAUAUAAACAUAAUAAUAGUAUUACAAAGUAUAUAUAUAGUAUUAAAAAUAUGUACAUAAUAUGACGUUAAAAAAUACAUACAUAAUAUAGUAUUAAAUAUAUACAUAAGAUAAUAUGUAAAAAAAAAUAGUAUUCGAAAUAUAUAUAUGAUAUAUAAAAAUACAAUAUUAAAAGACAUAUAUAUGUAAUAUAUAUAUAAAAUGUAUACAUAAUAUAAUAGUAUAUACAUAUUAGAAGUAAUAAUAAUGUUAAAAAAAAACUAUUAAUAAUAUUACAUAAAGACAUACAUAUAUAUAUUAAAGAUGUAUACAUAUAAUAAAACAUAUACUAAUAUUAAUAAUAACAAUAAGGAUAAUAUAAAAAUAUAUACACGAAAUAGUAUAUAUAAAAAAAUAUAACUAAUAAUAUUAAAAAUAUAUACAUAAUAUAUAUAUAUAAAUAUAUACGAUAUAUACAUAUAUUAGAAAUGAUAAUAAUAUAGAAGAAACUAUUAACACACUACAUAAAUAUGUACAUGUAUAUACAUAUAUAAAUAUUAAGUGAAUAUCAAUACUAGUACUAAUAAUAUUUAUAAUGAAUAUAACAAUAAUAAUAAUAAUAAUAUAUGCAUAUAAUAAUAAAAAACGAGAUAUUUAAAAAUAUAACUAAGUAUAAAAUAAUAAUAAUAAUGUAACAACCCGAUUUUGACCCAAAUUGGAACAGUGGUUUCGGGACCACACAUCCGAGUCUGAAAAAUAUUUUAAUAUUUUUUUUCUGUGUUUAUUAUGUGUGAAUUUAUAUAUGUGAAAGUUUCGUGAAUUAAUUUUAUUGUUUGAGUGCUUAAUUUGAGAAUAGGGCUUAAUCGAGUAAAAUAAAAAUUUAGUGGUUAUUUUUAGAAAGGCCAAAUAGUGGAUGUUCUUUUAAUAUGAAGGUUUCAUGUUGCAAUUUUGCCAUUGAAUUAAUGAAUGGACGGCACUAUGUAUAUAUUAUAUAGUUUUUAUAGUAAUUAUAAAGGUUAUAAUAAUAAAUAAUAUAUUAUAAAGUUACUAUAAUAAAAAAAAACAUAAGUUAAAAAGCUAUUAUCAUUUCUUUUGUUUCUACUAACCGAAUGUAAAAGAAAAGAAAAAGGAAAGAACAAGCUAAGGGUUCGGCCAUUUUGAAUUUUGAUUAAGGUUAGUUCUUUGUUCGGUUUUUGAUAAUUUUUACAUUUUUGAGAUCGUUGCUUUGUGUUCUUUAAAGCCCAUGCUUCAAUUUUGUGAAUUGGUGAUGAUUUUGAAAUUUGCCAUUGAUGUUAGCUUGAUGUUUUUGUGGUUUGAUGAUGAAAGAUAAACUUUUGUUGAUAGAUUAUUAUGUUUAAUUAAGUGAUUUUUGAUAAAAAGUGUAUUAAGGAUUAAAUUGAGAAAAGUGUAAAAUUCAAGGUCAAAUGUGUGAAUAAACUAAAAAUAUGGGCUGCUAGUAGUAUGGGUAGAAUUCGGCCUAACAAGGAUUUAGUGAAAUUUUGUGUAUUUUAUGUUAUUUUGAAAUAAGGACUAAAUUGAGAAAAAUGCGAAAUGUUAGGGGCUAAAAUGCAAAUUACCAUUUAUAUGUUCUUGAAUGAAAAUUUAAUGAAAUGUUGAAUAAUUAAGUUAAAUUUGAUAUUAAUUUAGAUUGGAAAAGGUGGAAAUCGGAUUUGGAUCGGGAAAAUCGGAAGUUAUCGAUUAGUCGUUCCGGUCCGUUCGCAUCCGUACGAGGUAAGUUCAUAAGUAAAUAAAUGCUGUUAAAUUUGAAUGUAUAUAUGUUAUAUGUGCUGAAUUUAUCUUUAAUAAAUAUAUGUGCAUAUGCUGAAUUGAAUUUAGAGUUGGAGAACUAGUUACGAGCUUGAAUCGAUAGAAUUACGACGUCCGAAAAGCCCCGUACGAACCAUAGGAAUAGUUAGGAUACAUAUGUCAUGACAUAGGAUUCCGAUAUAUGUUAUCGUGUAAGACCACGUCUGGGACGUUGGCAUCGAUUUGAGAUUUAUGUAUAAGACCAUGUCUGGGACAUCGGCAUCAUAUUUGAUUUCGUGUAAGACCCUGUCUGGGACAGUGGCAUCGAUAUUGAUUACAUGUAAGACCACGUCUGGGACGUUGGCAUUGUCCGAUUUUUUUUGAGCUAUCCAAGUAUCCUAUUUGAUUCUGAACGGUUCAACGGGGUAUUCCGAGAAAUAAAUGAGUAUAUGAGUGUGCAGCCGAAUCAGGUAAGUUUGUGAUGAAUAUGAAUUUGAGCAAUGAAAGUAAGUAUGAUUAUGAUUAUUCGUUAUAUAAUUUAUGUGAAAAUGAGAUGUGAAUUGUUAUGCUUAUUCGGGCUUGGAAGUGUAUGAAAAGAAAUUGAUAUAUUUUUUUACGAAUAAACUGUAAUAAAUGAUCAUGAUUCGGUUGGUAUGUAAUGAAAUUGUGGAAGCUUAAUCCUACGAAUGAGCUAAUGGUAGAUAUAUAAAUUUGAAAAAAACGGUUUAUAUGUCCAUCCAUAAUUAACUCUAGUGAAGUUACCUAGUGUGGUCUUAAGAAAUUGAGAUUAUGAUGAAUGUAUAUGUGGUUGAGAUUUUUUUAAAUUCAGCUUAGUUAAAUUGAAUUAUAAACAUUAUUGGAAUGAUUUAUUUGCUUAUGGCUUACUAAGCUUUCAAAGCUUACUCUGUGUGUUUUUCCUAUGUUAUAGAGUUUCGGAGACUUACUCGGGUUGGAAGUCUCGGGAGAUCUCAUCACACUAUCUAGUAUUCAUUUCGGUAAAUAAACGCUUUGAGAUUUGGUUAUGUGGCAUGUAUAGGUUAGUUUUGAUAUAUUUGAUUUUUGAAAUUUGUAUAUGUAUAUAGCCAUGCGAAAAUGGCUUGUUCAUGAUGCAAAUGUUGGUAAUUAUAUUUGGUCAUGUUAUAAGCUUAAUUGAGAGGUAUGAUUUAUGGUAAAUAUGUUGUGAUGUUGGUUAUAUGAUUUGGCAAUGAGAAGUGGUAAGUAGGGUAUAUAUUCGGCUUAUUAAUUAACUUACUUUGGUGGCAUGAAAAGUGGUAUAAUAUGGUUUGGUAAAAGGGGUCAUUUGAAUAUCUAUAAAUGACAUAUUGUUUUGAUGUUAAGAUAUGAGAUACUAUGUUUAUCUUAUAGACUGGGUGAUGGAGAUGUUAUGAUUUAUUGAGUUAAAUUUGAUAACCGAAAGGUUAUUUUUUUUAAAUUGUUGGACAUUUGAGAUAUGAAUACAUAUGCCUAUUUAAUGUUUGCUUGUAGUUUCGUUUUAAAAAGGUCAAAUCAUUGAUUCAAUGAUGGUUAUAAAAUGUGUUAUAUAUAUAUAGGUAGUUAUAUGUUCGGCUUUGGUAUUUGACUAUUUAGGCUCGAUUUUUGAAUGACAAAGAAUGUAUAUGAUCUAAUUGAUAUGGAGGUUAAUUGAAUGAUUGAUUAUUGAAAAUAUUAAUUGGUUGUGUAUAUGAAUUAUAGGCAUGAUAAUUCGCAUGCGAAUUAGGUAUGGGGUUCAUGUGUGUGGUUGAAUAUAACAUGUUAGAUAUGCUAUUUAGCUUGCAAAUUAGAUAUUUUAUGACUUGGCAUUUGUAUUCGAAAAUGGUUAAAUUUGAUUUAGUAAAAUGUACAUAAGGUUAUAAUGUUUAAAAUGCUAUAAUUUGGUAAUUGAAUUUAGAAAUGACUUUUGGUUUUAGGGUGUUAUGCACAUGGUUGGAUGAUGUAAAAAAAACUUAGUUGGUCAUGUAUAAAGUUACCUAACGUUUUAUGUGCAAAUGGUUAUUAAACUGUGAGAUAUGGCUAAAUUAGUUUAACAGGUGUAUGUAUAAUUUUUAUUAAAUAUUACGUUUGUUAUUUAGUUUGGUUUUGAUAUUUGAUGGCUUGGCUUGAAAGUUUUGAAUUAGCAAACGUAAUUGAAAUGGUUAGAUAUUGAAAUAUAGUUCGUAUAAGAGAAUGUUCGAUAAAGCAUGAUCUGUGUGGUUAGAUAUGUGAUUCGAAUAAAUGAUUUUAACUUGUAUGAAUAAGAGGUUGGUUUAUUAAUUUAUUUCGAAAAAUUUUAUAAGGGAGAAUACAUUACUGGGCCUAUGAAUUGUAAAGAAUGUCUGUUCUGAAAUGUGUUUUGUUUGGUAAUACCUCGUAACCCUAGUCCGGCGAUGGACACGGGUUAAGGGUGUUACAAAUAAUAUUAAAAGUAUGUAUGUAAUAUAGUGUUAAAAAUACAUACAUAAUAUAAUUAUUAAAAAUAUAUACACAAUAUAAUAAAAUAUACGAAUAAUAUGAUAUUAAAAAUAUAUACAUAAUGUAAAGUUAAAAAUAAUAUAUAUAAAAAAAUAUAUAUACAUAAUAUCUAUUAAAAGAAUAUACACCUAAUAUAUAUACAUGUAUUAAAAUAAUGAUAAUAUUAAAAAAAAUAAUUAUUAAUAAUGUUACAUAAAAGUAUAUAUAUAUGCCUGUUAAAAUAUUAAUAAUGUUAAAAAAAAACUAUUAAUAAUAUUACAUAAAGACAUACAUAUAUAUAUUAAAGAUGUAUACAUAUAAUAAAACAUAUACUAAUAUUAAUAAUAACAAUAAGGAUAAUAUAAAAAUAUAUACACGAAAUAGUAUAUAUAAAAAAAUAUAACUAAUAAUAUUAAAAAUAUAUACAUAAUAUAUAUAUAUAAAUAUAUACGAUAUAUACAUAUAUUAGAAAUGAUAAUAAUAUAGAAGAAACUAUUAACACACUACAUAAAUAUGUACAUGUAUAUACAUAUAUAAAUAUUAAGUGAAUAUCAAUACUAGUACUAAUAAUAUUUAUAAUGAAUAUAACAAUAAUAAUAAUAAUAAUAAUAAUAAUAAUAAUAAUAAUAAUAAUAUAUGCAUAUAAUAAUAAAAAACGAGAUAUUUAAAAAUAUAACUAAGUAUAAAAUAAUAAUAAUAUUAAAAGUAUGUAUGUAAUAUAGUGUUAAAAAUACAUACAUAAUAUAAUUAUUAAAAAUAUAUACACAAUAUAAUAAAAUAUACGAAUAAUAUGAUAUUAAAAAUAUAUACAUAAUGUAAAGUUAAAAAUAAUAUAUAUAAAAAAAUAUAUAUACAUAAUAUCUAUUAAAAGAAUAUACACCUAAUAUAUAUACAUGUAUUAAAAUAAUGAUAAUAUUAAAAAAAUAAUUAUUAAUAAUGUUACAUAAAAGUAUAUAUAUAUGCCUGUUAAAAAUAUUAAUUGAAGCUAAAACUAAUACUAAUAAUGGUAAAAACUAAUAAUAUAAUAUAAUAUAAAAAUAAAGAAAUAAUAAUAAUACGAAGAUUAAUAAUAGUAAUAGUAACAAUAAUGAUAAUGUAUAUGUACAUGUAUAGUACUAAUAAUAAUAAUAAUACUAAAAUAAUUAAUUUUAAUAAUAAAGUAAUUAAAAAAGGACCGAAUCGAACAAAAAACAAAAGGCUUGGGGCGAAAUUGAAAUAAAAAGAAGGGAAGGGGACCAAUUUAAACGAGCGAAAAAUAGGGGAAUGACCAAAAGCACAAAAAACCCAUUUGCCUCAAAACGCGCAGUAUCAAGGGGACUAAAUCAGAAACCGAAAUAAAUUGCUGGGCCAAAUUGAAUAUAACAACAAAUUGGAUUGUAAAAUCAUAAAAAUGCGGAAGGGCUAGAAGUGCAAUUAGCCCUUUCAUAGAAAACACGCGGAUCCUCCUUGGGUCGGGUCAGACAGAUCGGGUCUUUAUGCCAAACGGUGUCGUUUUGGGUCUGGGCCUGGGCACGAAAACGGUGCCGUUUUGGUAGGCUAUAAAAGCCUAAAAAUUUCCAAAAAAAAUCAUUUCCACCAGGUUUUAAAAAAAAAACAGGAGAGAGCUCUCCUCUUCUCUCUGGGUCAACCCAAAUCUCGGUCAGGGGAUCGAGGAGUUCCGCCGCAGGCCCAUCGCUAGCCACCGUCGCACGGUGGCCGAAUCUCAAAAGGUACUGUUUUCUUUAUCUUUUUUAUUUUUUUAGGUUUUUAUUAUAUUUAUAUGUACGAGAAGAAUGGACCAGAAAACAAAAACAAAAAGAAAGUUAAAAUAUCCUUAGGUUUUUGCAUGUUCGGUUCUUCGAUCUCUGAUAUUGGGUUUGAUUUGAUGCUACUCUCUUACUUUGAUAUUAUUGGAAUCGCUAUUUUUGCUAAAAAAAAAAUCGAAUGCUUUUUUUGUAUUUUCCCAGGAAUUGCUGAAGAAGAAAAAAGGUUUUAGAUUUGGUUUUUUUAUAGCCAUUUACAAUGCCCUAAUCCUAUUGCUUGCGUGUUUGCUUGAUUUUACAGGUCAGUUGAUGGCCGGUGGAGGUGACUGUGAGGCAGGUGGCGUCAGGGGAUGGUGCUAGUGGAUGAGACGUUAGCGGCACUUAGGGUUUCAGUUUUUUUAAAACCCUAAAUUAGGCUAGUUGGGCUAAGAGCUUGGGCUAUAUGGGUGUGGAUCAGGGUUUGUUUGGAAUUGGGUUAUUGGAUUAAAAUUUGGGCUUUGGGUACUUAGGGUAUGGGGUUGGUCAGGGUUUGUUUGGAAUUGGGUUAUUGGAUUAUAAUUUUGGGCUUUGGGUACUUGGGGUAUGGGGUUGGUAAUUUGGUGGAUGUGGGCUGAUUGGGUAGGUUUAGUUGGGCUCGGGUAAUUUGGGCUUCUACAAGUUGUAUUUUCUCUCCUCCUAAUGUUGGGAAUGUUGUUUCAUCAAAAUGACAAUCAAUAAAUCAUGCAGUAAAUAAAUCUUCAGUUAAUGGUUCAACAUAUUUAAUUAUAGAAGGAGAUUCAUAACCAACAUAAAUUCGCAACAUUUUUUGAAGGCCCAUCUUUGUGCGUUGUAAUGGAGCAAUUGGAACAUAUACUACACAUCCAAAAAUUCUAAGAUGAGAAAUAUUUGGCUCCUGACCAAAAGCCAAUUGUAAUGGGGUGUACUUAUUAUAACUUGUUGCCCUUAAGUGCACAAGUACUGUUCUAUGCAAAAUAGCAUAUCCCCAUGCUGUAACAGGGAGUUUUGUUCUUAUAAGCAAUGGUCGAGCUAUUAGUUAGAGGUAUUUGAUAAACGAUUUAGCUAAACCAUUUUGUGUAUGAACAUGAGCUAUAGGAUAUUCAACUUUUAUCCCAAUUGACAUACAAUAAUCAUUAAAAGCUUGGGAUGUAAACUCACCAGCAUUAUCAAGACGAAUAGUUUUGAUUGCAUAAUCUGGAAAUUGUGCUCUUAAUCAAAUUAUUUGAGCAAGUAGUCUCGUAAACGCCAGGUUGCUAGUCGAUAAUAAGCACACAUAUGACCACCUACUAGAUGCAUUUAUUAAUACCAUAAAAUAUCUAAAUGGUCCAUAUGGUGGAUGAAUGGGCCCACAUAUAUCACCUUGAAUACGUUCCAGAAAUGCGGGAGAUUCAAUCUCAACUUUAGCUGGUGAUGGUCUAAUAAUCAAUUUUCCUUGAGAACAAGCGACAUAAGAUAAAUCCUUGAAUUCAAGAAUAUUUUGGUUCUUUAAUGGGUGUCCAAUUGAAUUCUCGAUGAUUCUUCGCAUCAUAAUAGAUCUAGGAUGGCCUAAUCGGUCAUGCCAAAUAGUAAAAGUAUGUGGAUCUACAGACUUUUGGUUUGUAGUAACAUGUGACUGAAUUGCACUAAUAUGUGUAUAAUAUAAACCUGAUGAAAAAGCGGGUAGCCUUUCCAAAAUAUAUUUCUUUCCACAUUCAACAUUUGUAAUAUAUAGAUAUUUAACAUUUUUCUCAUUCAUAGUCUCAAUAUGAUAUCCAUUAAGACGAAUAUCUUUAAAACUCAAUAAAUUUCUUUGAGACUUAGUGGAAUAUAAAGUAUCAUCAAUGACAAAUUUUGUACCUUUAGGUAAUAAUAUAAUAGCUCUUCCAAAGCUUUCAAUAAGUUUUGAACUACCCGAUAUUGUAUUAACAUGGGCAUUACUCAUUGUCAAAUGAGAAAAAUAUUUUUUAUCUUUGAGUAUCGCAUGUGUUGUAGUACUAUCUGCAAGACACAUGUCUCCAUUGAUUUUGGGCUCAUCGAAAUUUUGUUGAAUAUUCAUAUUCUUCAUAAAAACAAACAAAAUAUAAUAUGAGAAACAUUGCAAAUAUUUAUUAAGUAUAUAAAUUAUUCUUUAUGCAAGAAAAUAAAAUAUACUUAAAACAACAUAGAAAUGUCAAAAUAACAUCAAUUUUUCUAAUGAUUCUCAAAGAAAGUUGCCACAUCUAGGUGAGUUAUAUUAUUAAGGUGAUUAAAUAUAUCACCCUCGUAGGCAUGGUCUGUUUUAGUAUUAUAGUGAAUAUCUUCAUCUUUUGCCUCCAUUUCAUUAUUUUGGGAUAUAAAAUUUGUCUCCAUGUGCUUUCCCUUCCUUUUAUUGGAUGCUUGAUAAAGUUUCACUAAAUGCUCAGACGUACGACAGGUACGUGACCAAUGUCCCUUCAUACCACAUCGGUAGCAUGUAUUCUCAACAAUCUUUGAAAGAUUAUUUUGACCACUUCUUUCUUAUCUUUCAUUGUUAUUCUUUUUCUGGUGGUUAGAAGUAUCAUUGUUAUGACCACCAUGAUAACGAUUACUAAUACGUCCUCUACCAUGUCCCCCAUUACGUCCACGACCACGGCUGCGACCUCUAUAUUUUCUAUUUUCAUAAUUAUUGUGUAUUGUUAUAUUUACUUUAGGGAAUGGUGCAGAACCAGUGGGACGAAUUCCAUGAAUUUUCAUCAACAGCUCAUUAUUUUGUUCAGCCACCAAAAGGCAUGAAAUCAAUUCAGAAUACAUUUUAAAACCUUUUUCAAGGUAUUGCCGUUGCAGGAGCACAUUAGUAGCAUGAAAGGUUGAAAAUGUUUUCUCUAACAAGUCCUCAUCAGUUAUGUUUUCUCCACAUAAUUUUAGUUGAGAACUAAUUUUGAAAAGUUCUGAAUUGUAUUCACUUACAGUCUUAAAAUCUUACAACCGUAAGUGCAUCCAAUCAUAACGAGCUUUAGGGAGUAUCACAGUUUUCUGAUGGUCAAAUCGUUCUUUCAAAUUUUUUCACAAAUCAAGAGGGUUUUUCACAGUGAGAUAUUCCACUUUUAACCCUUCAUGUAGAUGAUGACGGAUGAAAAUCAUUGCUUUUGCCUUGUCUUGAUUAAAUGCUUCUUUAUCUACUAAUAUAGUAUUUCCUAAACCUUUAGCAUCUAGGUAAAUUUCAACAUCUAACACCCAUGACAAAUAAUUCUUGCCUGAGAUGUCUAAGGCCGCAAAUUCAAGUUUGGCAAGAUUUGACAUUAUAAUCACUUGGAUUAAAAUAAAAAAAUAUUAGUAAAAUAAUAAGUAUUCUCAAUCGUAAAAUAAUUCAAUUAUAUAUACCUAAUUUUCUAAAUAAUAAUAUGUAUGUCAAAUAUUAACAUAGAGAGGAAUAGUCAUAAUAAUAACUUAACACAAAUUACAUUAGUUGAAAUUUCUUUUUAGAAAAACAUGUAUAUUAUCAUUAUUAGAUUUUAGUUGUAAAAAUAAAUGUGCGAAUGUUACCCAAAGCAAAUAUUUCAUCUAGAAAAAAAAUAAAAGGAUUAUGAAAAUAUGUAUAUCCUAUAUAGUUUAACAAGAGUUAUACGGGAAAAUUAUAUAAAGUCAAAAUGACGUGAACUUCACUAUGAACUCGUAGAAGCUCGUACUGAUAACGUGUUAUAGAAAAAUUAAUAAAAUAAUAAAUAAAAGUGGAUGAAAAUAUGAGAUAAUUUUUCAUUGUCGUAUUUCUACUUACAAUAUGCUAUUUAUAAGCUCCUUUACAUUUAAUUAAUAAAUGUAUUUAAUGAACUAAGUUUUCUUAAUUACUCCAUUUAAUGAUCUCCUGAUUAUAAAUGAAGUAAUGAGUUUUAUCUCUUUUCUUUAAUAUGCUUAAGGGGAUUAUAGACAUCCAUUUAAUUUACAACAUAUGUGAAAAUAAAAUAAAAUAAAAUAAAAAAUAAAAUAAAAUAAAAUAAAGAACACACAGAUUUUACGUGGAAACCCUUUCGGAAAAAAAACCACGGGCAGAGGAGAAGAAAAUUCACUAUGUCGAAUUCGAAUUUAAUUACAAAAGGAAUAGACUAUGUCUAUUUAUAAUAUUGUAAAGCCAUAUUCUAGUAAGAUUGAAACACAUUAUUCUAAUCAAUAUAAAAUAAAUGGAGUUUAAUAAGGUUUAAAAAACCUUAUUCUAAAAUAAAAUAAAAGAAGUGUAGUUCUGUAUGGAUUUUACUUCUAUUUUAUUUUACCACUGUAUUUUAUUUAAAUAAGGAUUCGGGUAAUUUAAUUCUAACAAUCUCCACAUUGACACGAAUUCUCAAUGAAUAAGUUCUUCAUCGUGAACUCUCAAUGAACAAGUUCUUCACCUCUUCUAUAAAACCCCUUAAGGGUUUAACUUCAACAAUGAACACCAACCAAGUCUAAGCAAUGCUCAAACUUGGUUAUAGGAAGUGACUUAGUCAUCAUAUAUGCAGGAUUUUCAUGAGUACUAAUUUUGCUCACAACAAUAUCACCACGAGCAAUAAUAUCACGAACAAAAUGAUACCGAACAUCAAUGUGUUUUGUUCUCUCAUGAAACAUUUGAUCUUUUGUAAGGAAGAUUUCCCUCUGACUGUCACAAAAUACUGUACUGAUUUGAAGGUCUUCAUUAAGUUCACUAUAGAGUCCCUUCAACCAAAUAGCUUCUUUACAAGCCUCAGUAAUCGCCAUGUACUCAGCUUCAGUGGUAGACAAAGAGACUGUAGUUUGCAAAGUGGCUUUCCAGCUAAUUGCACAACCUCCAAUUGUAAAGACAUAACCUGUGAGAGAUCUUCUUCUAUCAAAGUCUCCAGCAAAUCAGCAUCAACAUACCCAAUGACUCCAUCUCUAGUUCUUCCAAACUGUAAGCAGACAUCAGUAGUACCUCGUAAGUAUUUUAAAAUCCACUGAACUGCUUUCCAGUGUUCUUUACUGGGAUUCGCCAUGUAUCUGCUAACUGCACUAACUGUAUAUGAUAAAUCUAGACGUGAACAAACCAUAGCAUAUAUGAGAGGUCCCAUUGCACUAGAGUAUGGAACAUGUGACAUGUACUUAAUCUCAUCAUCUGAUUGUGGAGACAAAGCCGAUGAAAGUCUGAAAUGGGCUGCUAAAGGAGUACUAAUAGGCUUAGCACUCUACAUAUUGAACUUGUAAAGAACUUUCUCAAUGUAUCCCUUCUGACUUAGGUACAAUUUACUUGCUUUUCUAUCUUUGAGAAUCUCCAUACCAAGUAUCUUCUUUGUUGGUCUUAAAUCUUUCAUCUCAAAUUCUUCACUUAGUUGGGCUUUAACCUUUCUUAUAACAUAAAUAUUGUUAUAAAUAUUGUUAAUAGCCUCUGGUGUGAAAAGAAAAAAAGUUUGCUCAUUUAUCUUUUGCUGCUAUCAACAUGUCAUCAACAUAAAAAAGUAGGUACACGAAAGAACCAUCACUUUUUUUCUUAAAGUAAACACAACUAUCAAAACUACUUCUUUUGAAAUCAUGAGAAGUCAUAAAUGAAUCAAACCUAUUAUACAACUAUCUUGGUGAUUGUUUCAAACCGUAAAGAGACUUUUUCAGCAAGCAAACAUAGUCCUCUUUUUCUAAGACUAUAAAACCCACUGGUUGUUGCAUAUAAAUGUUCUCCUCAAGUUCUCCAUGCAGAAAUGAAAUUUUUACAUCUAACUAUUCAAGCUAUAAAUCAUGCAUGGCCACAAUACCAAGCAAAGCUCGAAUCGAACUAUACUUAACAACUUGGGAGAACACAUCUAUGAAGUCCACUCCUGGAAUUUGGCUGUAAUCAUUUGCAACAAGCUUUGCUUUAUAUCUAGGUUCUUCAACUCCUAGAGUCCCUUCUUUCUUUUUAAACAUACCUUUACAAUGAACAACCUUUUUACCUUUAGGAAGUUUCACAAGAUCCCAUGUUCUAUUUUUAUGGAGUGAUUCCAUCUCCUCUUGCAUAGCAAACAUCCACUUUUCUGAGUCUUCACAACUAACCGCCUCAGAAUAAUUAGAUGGCUCUUGAUUCGCAUCUAUAUCUUCAGCCACAUUUAAAGCAUAAGCAAAUAGAUCAGCCUCGACAUACUUCUUUAGAGGUUUAAUUUCUCUUCUAAUUCUGUUUUUGGCGAUAGAGUAUUGCGGUGAAGAAACAACUCUAUUCUCAAUUUUUGUACUAGCUUGAGGAGUCGACUCUGUAUUAAUCUGAUACUCCACCUACUUUUGAUUUUCUUUAUUGGAAGAGUCUUUAAGAGAUAAGUUAGGUAGGUAGCAUAGCAGUUUCAUCAAAAACAACAUCUCUGCUAAUCAUAACUUUUCUAUUUUCAGGACACCAUAACUUAUACCCUUUUACACCAGCUUUAUAACCAAGAAAAACACAUUUAAUGGAUCUCGGUUCUAAUUUUCCAUUAUCAAUAUGAGCAUACGCAGGAAACCUAAAGAUCUUUAAGUCAGAAUAAUUAGCAAGAUUACUAGACCAUACCUCCUGUGGAGUCUUUUUCUUAAUAGCAACGGAUGGAGAUCGGUUGAUCAAAAAACAUGCAAUAGAGGUUGCUUCUACCCAAAAAAACUUCGUUAAGUUGGCAUUUGACAACAUACAUCGAACCUUCUCUAUGAUCAUUCUGUUCAUUCGUUCUGCAACGCCGUUUUGCUGUAGAGUAUGACGAACUAUUAAGUGUCUCACGAUCCCUUCUGACUUGCACAAUCUAUUAAACUCAUCAGAACAGAACUCUAAGCCAUUGUUUGUGCGGAGGUAUUUUAUUUGUUUUUCUUCUAUUUUUCAAUCAUAAUUUUCCAAGACUUAAAUGCAGAAAACACAUCACUUUUCUGCUUCAAGAAGAACGCCCAAACUUUUCUGGAAAAAUCAUCAAUAAAAGUUAGCAUAUCAUUAGGUCCACCUCUUGAAGGCACUCUGGAUGGCCCUCACAGAUCAGAAUUAAUAUACUCCAACGUUCCCUUCGUGUUAUGGAUUCCUCUGGUGAAUCGAACUCUCUUUUACUUCUUAAAAAUACAGUGCUCACAGAACUUCAAUUUGCAAAUUCCUUGCCCAUCAAGAAGUCCUCUUUUGCUCAAUUCUGCCAUGCUAUUCUCAUUCAUAUGCCCUAGGCGCAUAUGCCAAAGUUUAGUAAUAUCAUCAUCUGACAAGGAAGAGAAAAUGACAGCUGCAUCACCAGUAACUGUAGAACCCUGCAAAAUAUAUAACUUGGUAGUAUUUCUCUUCCCUUUCAUCACAACAAUGGAACCUUUGGAAAUCUUUAAAACUUCACUUUCAGCUGUUUAUCUGUACCCUUUUAAAUCAAGAGUAUUUAACGAAAUUAUAUUUCUCUUCAAUUCUGGAACAUGUUGUACGUCACUAAAUGUUCUGACAACUCCAUCAAACAUCUUAACUUUAAUUGUUCCAACACUUACGAUUUUACAUAAAGUAUUAUUUCCCAUCAAAACAACACCUUCAGACACUGUUUCGUAAGUUAUAAACCAAUCCCGAUUAAGACUCAUGUGGAAUGUGCAGCCUGAAUCAAGUAUCCACUCCUCACUUACUUUAAAAUCAUUGAUAGAAGUGACUAGAGUUCACCAUCGCUGUAGUCUUCUACAACAUCAGCUUCAUCGAAAUUUUCUGGUUGUUUUCCCUUUUGAUUCGUAGCCUCCCUUUUAAUCUUGUUCUGUAGCUUAUAACACUCAGAUUUAAUGUACCCUUUCUUCUUGCAGAAGUUACAAGUUUUACCUCUGUUUGAAGACUUCGAUCUACCUUUAGAUUUACCACGAGGAUUUCGUUCCUGUGUCCGUCUAUGACCAUCAUUAGCAUUUCGAUAUUGUCUUCUACGAACAAUGAAAUCCUCUCCCUGAGAGUCGGGCUUAACCAUAAGAUGCUUCAUCUUAUCAUACAAGGUCAAAGAAUCAUAAACCUCAUCAAUUGUAAGAGACUCGCGGCUAUAUAAAAUCGUGUCUCGAAAGGUUGAAUAAAACGGGGGCAGCGAACAAAGUAGAAUCAACACUAGAUCUUCCUCAUCAUACUGAACCUCUAUGACCUCCAAGUUUGAGAGAAUUUCUUUAAACACUGUCAAGUGUGUGUGUACAAACGCACAUUCCUCCAAAUGAUGAGCAUAAAAAUGCUGCUUUAUAUGCAACUUGCUUGUUAGAUUUUUCGACAUACAUAUUUGUUCCAGCCUCUUCUAUAAUGCAGCAGCAGUCUUCUCCUUCAUCACAUCCUACAAAAUUUUGUUGGACAAAUGCAGAUGUAAUUGUGUUAACGCCUUUCGAUCCUUACGCUUAUUCUCUUCAUCUGUUAAUGUCGAAGGCAUCUUAUCUAUCCCUAGCAGGGAAUCCUUCGGAUCCAUUUGCGUAAGAACUACUUGCAUCUUAAUCUGCCACAACGCAAAUCUAGUGUGGCGAUCCAAUAGCGAAAUUUCAUAAUUCAAAGAUGUUAUCACCGUGAUCGUGAUGAACUACCCGGAAGCUCUGAUACCAAUUUACAAAAACAAAAUAAAAUAAAAUAAAGAACACACAGAUUUUACGUGGAAACCUUUUUGAAAAAAACCACGGGCAGAGAAGAAGAAAAUUUACUUUGUCGAAUUCGAAUUUAAUUACAAGAGGAAUAGACUAUGUCUAUUUAUAGGCUUGUAAAGCCAUAUUCUAGUAAGAUUGAAACACCUUAUUCUAAUCAAUAUAAAAUAGAUGAAGUUUAAUAAGGUUUAAAAAACCUUAUUCUAAAAUAAAAUAAAAGAAGUGUAGUUCUAUAUGGAUUUUACUUCUAUUUUAUUUUACCACUGUAUUUUAUUUAAAUAAGGAUUCAUGUCAUUUAAUUCUAACAACAUAUAUAUUUUUUACAUCGAUAAGUUUUUUUUGUAUUUUCUUCGAUAGGAGGCUCUUUCGGCGUUCGACGGAGUUGAUUUUUAAUGGUAGCUAGUAGAUUUGAAUUUUUUUUUGAAGUCAUCCCCUUUUUAGUAAUAUUCUCAAUUUAAGUUUGUUUGAGAUUAUUUAGCGAUAGUUCUAUUUGAAUUGUAUACUCUUUAUUAUGAUUUGUUUUUGAUCUUGCGGCAUGACUUUGAUUUUUUUGUGGACUUUUAAAGUCCCGUGAUUUUUACCAUUUACUUAAAAAGGACUUUCCAAGUAAAAGUUGUGUCUCAAAUUAUUAUUUUUCUUUGUGAUAUUGUGGUUGAUUUGCAUCGAUUGUUGAUAUAUUUUAUUAUUGGGUUUGCCAUAAUUACUGAAUUGAUUUAUUGAGAGUGAAAUUGUGCAGCUUGGUUCUCGUGUUCAAUAAUCAUGAAAAUUAACACUAGUAAGAUGAUUAUGUUAAAUGACACAAAUUAUCAACUUUGGUGGAACAAGAUGAAAUAUCUGCUUUUUGUGAAGGCUUUACACCAGAGACACAUGCGAGUAAAUUAUGGAACAAGCUUGAAAUCUUGUAUGUUUCAAAGUUCGACAAUAACAAGUUGUUCAUGCUUAAAAGAAUGAUGGCAUUGAGUUACAAGGAAGGGACUUCUAUAGCCGAACAUUUGAAUGAGUUUUAAGUUUUUUUUUUACUAAACUACUUGGUAUGAGAAUUAAAUUUGAUGAUGCGUAAAACACCCCAUACCUAACUCGAUUGUUUGGUCCAAGUUAUAAGGUGUCGUAUUCGUUGUCGAAGCAACUAUGAUAAAAUUAAAUACAAUUUAUAUCAUUAAUCAUGCCAACAUAAGAGUUAUAAGUAAACAAUACAAUAAAUAAUCAUUUCUCGGUCUUAUACGAGAUUACGAAAGCUCUAAAGUUAACCCGAGAUCAAAUCAAGACUAAAUUCUAAAAGUUUCAAAACAUAGGGUUAACUUCGUGACAUCAUCUUUUACACAUAGUGUGAUGUGAACCCGGUCGCAUCAUGUUAUGACGCAACUCGACACCAUCGAGAUUGACCUAAAGUUGAAGGGCCCAAGUGUAAGAUGAAACAUCUCAUAGGCCUGAUUGAUUAUUAGGCCAAUGUUUUUAAGGACUUUUUAAUUUAAUAAAGUUUUAUUUAAAUUAAUAAGUUUGCAUAUUUUAAUUUGACUUGCACUUUGUGUGUUUUGCAUUUAAUAAAGUAAUGCAUUAUGUAACUUUCAUGUUAGUUAAGUAUGCAUCAUAAAUAAUGACUUGCAUUAUGUAACUUUCAUGUUAGUUUAAGUCUGCAUUAUUAAAUUAAGUCUUGCAUUAAAUAACUUAUAUGUUUAUUAAGUUUGUAUUUUAAACCAUGCAUUUAAGCAUUUUAGUUAAUUGAGUUGUUAGAAUAAAUACUUAUCUUAAAUAAUUUAGUUGCUGGAAUAAUUUAUUGAUGCAUGUGUUUGAGUUUAUUUAUUUAAGUGUUUAAUGUGUUUUGUGUUUAAUAAGUGUUCAAAUGUGUUUAAUAUGUUUGUUUUAAUGUGUUUAAUUGCAGGUGCCUUUUCAGCUCAAACUGUUACAUUCAAGGGCUGUUACAAAUUGAUUAAUAUGACUUUUCAAGUGAAUUUCGGUUACACACAAGGGGGAACAUUAUUCUUCAUUAAAAGGAGUUGUUAUCAUCAAUUAAAGGGAGCAUUACACAUCCUUAAAUUAGGCAGCAACCUUUUCCAUCUUCCAUAACCAAUUGUUGAUUAAAUGAUCACUUCAUGAGCUUAAUUUCCAUCCAAGUUAUUGGUGUCUAUUCGGUUGACCAAGGAGAUUUCAAAAGUUUUCUUAAAGCAUUCAAGUGAAUUAAAAUCAGAUAAAUUGAAGAAUUGAAUCGUCUUAAAGGAAUGAGUUACUUAGGCUAGAAUUUCAAAAGUUGUGACUUUUCAUUUCAGCUCAUUAAGCUAAAUAAAAGUGACUAUUCGGCUAGCCUCUUUUAACACUAUAAAUAGUUGUAAGCAGCCUAUUGUAAGAGAACCUUUUUGUUGUAUUUAUGUUAAACUUGAGUUUUGUGAGUUAUCCAAUUCUCUUUGUUCUUUUGGAGCUGAUCUGACUUAUCAAGCAUUGCUUGUGGCAUCUAUCCUUUCUAUUGUUAACCGAACUUAUCACUUUCAAGUGUGGCAUUCGUAUACUUUCGGUUCCUAUCACUAAUUGAUAGUGGGUCAAGGUUUAUCCUUUGUUGUUUUCCUCAAACCGUAAAACACCAAAGAGCCAUUUGAGAUUCGGGUCAACAAUCUAAUAUUGUUGGUUCUUUUUCGGCCUUAGUAAAUUAUCCAUUUUCUUUGUUUUAACCACUUUGCUAUCCUAUUUUUAAAACUCAUUUCCUUCUUUCUUCAGCCUAUUUUUGUUUAAACUUAUCUUGUUUUGAAACGAAGAACAACUUACUCAAAUUCACAAUUGGGCAAUCUAAACGACUCGAAUCAUCAUCGAAACAAGUUUGUAUCAUAGUGAUGUUGACAAAUAGUUUGUCACAUCACGACAUCAGGCCACUCGACGUCGUGACGUUAUUGUAUUGGUCUCAUUUAGAUGACGGGGUUCGUCAUUUCGCCAUGUCAUUAUAGGUCAUUUCUCGUCAUGACAUGAUACAUCUAAUGUUGAGACGAGAUACGUCUGACGUCGCGAUGUCACAUACUGUUUUUGUAAUUUCUCCUUAUUUAACAACCUGUAAUUUUCCAAAUAAAUUCUAAACACAUUCAUAUUAUGUUCAACCAAUAUAUCCAACAAAUAACAUCAAUUUACACACACCAAAACCUCAACCAAAAACUAAGCUAACACCUUUUCAACUAUAAGCUAACUACCUACCAAAUCAUGCACAUUUCUAGCUAUUUCAUUAAGAUCAUUAGCAUUAUAACUUAUCACACCAAUUUAACUAGAUUUGAAACCAAAUCUAAUUCUAUUUACAAGCCAUAUUCAAUUAACCAGAAUUAUACAUUAAUCUUUUAAACCAUAACCAUAAGUACAUAUAAACAUAGUUAAAUACUAAAAUGGCUCAAUUUAAGUACAUGCCAAACUUGGAACAUAAUAGAAUUUGUACGAACUUUGAUGAGUCGGGGAUCGUUUCUUGGAUGUUGAACCUAUUGCUAGCACUCUCGCACGUCAACUAUACCUGCGCACGGAGAAAACAAACCAUACACUAAGCGAAGUUGUUCAAUGAUAAAUCCAUGAAUUAAAACAUAAUAACAUAUGCAUUAGUAAUUGUCACGAGGUAUAUAAUGUCAAUGAUAAAUCAGUUCCACUUAUUUAUUAACUAUCUAUCUUUAAAUCAUUUACAAGACUCUUUCGUAAUCGUUCAGCCCUUAGAGCUCGUUAUCAACUAAUUCAUAUAGAAGUUCGUUCACCUUAUCUAUUGUAACACACAUACAAACACAAUAUACCAAUUCAUCAAUAUUCCAUAUCAUCAUAUACUUUGAUUUUCAUCUCAAGUAACUCGAUAAUAAUGAUUUUCACUGUACAAUCUCGAAUGGCUCGGCAACGAUAAUUUACUCUAUUUCAGUACUCUACCAUCCCGGAUGACCCGACACCGAUGAUUUUUCAAUCCAAAAUUCUAUCAUCCCAAAUGGCCCAACAACGACAACUUUCACUGUUCUUACAAUUUUACCAUCCCGGGUGACUUGACAACGAUGAUUCUCAACCUAAAGCAUGCCAACUAAUUCGACGAUAUUCAAAAUUGUUAUUAAAGUAACACCGAAUCAAUAUACAUUAUAACCAUAUAACACAUUUCAAUAUCAUCAUCAAUACAUUUCAGCAUACCAUUCACUCUAUUCAACAUAGUACUAUAAUCAAUGCUCCUGCCCAACAACCUAAUCACCAGCGUGUUGGCCAUAUUGCGAUCAAUCUAUUCGUGCACUUUCUCAGAAAAGUUGAUUGAUGGGUAUCGACCCUCAUAAGAUAUUUUGUAAUCUCCUUCCUAUAUCACAAUAUUCACUUCCUCAAAAUCGGUUCUUGACCUUACGCCUCUCCUGUAUCCUUAUUAACACUUGUAUAAAGUUUUCUUUUUCUUUUUUUUUCGAUUCUCCAGUUUCCAUCAAUUCAGAAUCUGAAAGGUCACCUUGCUCCCUGUUUCUCACCUUCUUCGUAGCUCUCUCCAACUCCAGUGAGAUAGGAGACCCUGGCCGUUUAUAGCUUUAAAAUUAAAUUAAAUUAAAUUCUUUCUACCAAGUUUUAAUAUCUUGUAAAGUUUUUUUUUUGUGCAACAAAUAAUAUCGCAAUAGAACGUUUUGCUUGUAAAAUUAUUCAUUCUUUAAUAUAAUUUCCCUGAAGCAAACUAAAAAUUAUAAUAACUGCAUAAUUUGAAAAUUUAAAAAAUCUAUUAAUUAUCAUAAAAGUUAUUAGUAACACUUUAAAAAAAUUUCUCUAAACAAUUAAAGAACUUAAAAUCAAAUCAUCAUAUAGUAUGUUAGUCCAAAAAAAAAUUUUGGUAUUACGAUUAUUAAUAAAAUUAACAAAAAAAGAUUUUAUAUACAUGCGAUCUUAUCUAAUUACUUUAACAUUCUAUAUUUAUUAGAUUAUUCUCUUUCAAAUGUAAAACAUAUGCUCUUUAUUGUUUCAAUUGAUCAUUGACCAAGUAUAAAUAAUCAAUAAUAAAAUAGAUGUAACUUAAUUAAAUUUAUAAUAAACACUAAGUAAUUUAAUUAAUUAAUUAGGAGGAAAGUAUGUUUAUAAAUGAAAUAAAAUAUCUGUACUAAAAUUGAAAUCUAUUAGAUUAUUAUACAAAAAUAAUUUUUUGAACUUAAAUCAGCUUGAAUAUAUUACAGAAAUAUAAUUAUAUUUAAAGUGAUUUUUUUUUAUAGCAAAAAGUCACUUUUCAUUAAUGCUUUUCGGUUUAUGGAUGAACUAAUGGGAUCAGCAUUACCGUUGUCUACUUUUAUAAUUAAAAAAUCUUUAUUUCAGGAAAAGCUAAAUGCUUUUAGUCUAAGUUUAUUCAUGAAUUAAUGGGGUCAGCAUUUAACUUUUCCUUAUUCUAAUUAGGGGAAAAAAUAGAAAAUGCUAUUUUUCUUUGCUUAAUUUCCAAUGCACGAAUAAAUAUAUAAAAUCAUAGAAUGGACUUUUACCAAUUCAUUGAUUUAAUCCGUAACGCUCCUUUACAGGGAGCCCACUUCCAGAGGAGACGAAGAAUCAAAAUCCAAUUCAUCUGGGGCCUGACCCGACCCAUCUACCCUUUUAUCAAACAUUCAAACGCAGCUCUCUCUCUCCCACUCUGUCCAUUUAUCUCCUGCCCUCCCUCCAUCUCUUUUUUGCUUCUCACCGUAAAAAACCAAUGGAGCCGUGGCUCGACGACUUAGCCGACGAUCUCCAAAGCGUAAGCUUCACCUCAUUUUCCAGCGCCACUGUAAACCGCAGCACCAGUUCAGGCUCCGCCUCCAACUCCGGUUCUUCCUCUCUCGCUCCCUCCGCUCACGGUUCAUUCUCUUCCAAGUCCCUACGCUCAUGCACGCUCUCCCUCGCCGACCUCCGGUUCUCCCUUCGCCUCGGGUCCGGCGAUAUAGGCUCUGUCUACUUAGCCGAACUCAAGUCUCAUGCACCACCUUCCAGCUCCAAUGCCGCUGACACAAACAAAAACAACAGCAACAGUAAAAGCAGCAGCAAGAGCGAAGUCCUUUUUGCAGCAAAGGUGAUGGACAAGAAAGAGCUAGCGUCCAGGAGUAAAGAAGGGCGAGCAAGGACUGAGGUGGAAAUACUGAAAUUGUUGGACCAUCCUUUCUUACCCUCGCUUUACGCCGCUAUCGAUUCCCCUAAAUGGCUCUGUUUGUUAACAGAGUUCUGUCCAGGCGGCGAUCUUCACGUCCUCCGCCAACAUCAACCUCUCAAACGUUUCCCAGAAUCCGCCGUCAGGUAUAUCCUCCCUGCCAACCGUUAACGUCAUUUUUUUUUAACUCUGCUUUAUUUUUGACGUGAUGUAUCGAGAGAAAUGCUCAAAAUCUGGUAGGAUUGUCAGGGUAGGGAGGGCCCAGUAGACUAUUUCUCGCUGUAAAUCAGGUCAUAUAUAGCGAUGAUAAAGUUUGGUCCGGUUUAAGGAAAAUUACGGUUUUGAUUUUUUAAUAUACAUAAUAGAAUUGAACUUAAUUUCGAUAAUUACUAUGAUUUUUUAAUCCGUCGACCAAGAAUCUAAUGGAAGAUAUUUGAAUUAAAACUAAACUAAAAUUAAUCACAGUGUCACGGUUGAAAUCAAUUUCAAUUUUUUUUUUCAUUUCGUAAUUUUGUUUGAUGGAGGGGUAGAUCCGGGAUGGAUUGCGCUAUUGUGGUCAGAACGUGGUAGAGAUUUGACCUCUUUAGCAGCUAUGUCAUUAGGUUGGAGACGCAUAUUUAAGUACAGUUACGGAGUCUAGUGCCUAAGGCAUUUUUUACGUUUAACCUAAACGUUGAUUUCAAAAAUGAAAUUUUUUAUCUUUCAAUGAUUUGAUUUUAAUCUGAAAGCUUUUGAAAGUUACCUUUUUUUAUUUUCUCCAUUAAACCUUUCAUCUUAUAACAUCGUGUUUUGAAAUUGAUAUUUUAUUUUUUAAAAAGUAUUUUUUUCCAGUAAUUAUAAAUAUUAUCAAAUGAAAGACUUUUUCAAAGUAAUUUUCAAGCUAAUUGGUAAAUUAGCCUUAAAAUAUUGCAUCAAUGCUCGCUACACCCUUUUAGUUUUUGGGUACAAGAGCCAAUAAAUGCACUUCUUGUUCCUUUCUUUUUGUUAUUUAAUGAAUUCCAAUGCUCAUUGGUGAACUUUUUAAAGAGUUGGAAGUACUUGAGAUUCUGAUUACCCAGCAGUGGAGUGGUAUGAUGAUGUUCCCAUCAUAUGAUGCAUUGUCAAGCUUGUACUAUGACUACAACCACUUCCACGGAUCCACUAUUAUCUUUCUAGACUUUGACUUAAUUCCCUUUUAACAAUGUACUAAUCACAUUUUCCUUUAUUUUACUGCAAAACUUAAUCAAAUGAUUCGAAUGGACAUAUCGCUAAGUUUUGAGGAAAAAUGGUUGCAUGAAUUAUAAUGCCAUGUUGGGUCUGAGAAAUUUAUGAGAAUAAAAUCACCACUAGAGCAAGUUGCGCAUCUUAUACUAGUAUUAUGUCUUUUUAUAUGAUCUUCAUGAUCAAAAGUUCCACUUUCGGCAGAUACGAUACUGGCAGUGAUUACUGAGUAGUUAGGCUCUAUAUGUUUGUCAUCAGUAGUGAACAAAGGGGAAGGUUUUUUUUUCUCUUUGGCUUGAAUCCGUAAAAAUCUGAAUUCUAUGUUUAAGCUGUGAUGAUGGUAGACCCUGUUUUUUUUUUUUUUUUUUUUUGCUUCUCUUUAGAUCUUUCUCCUUGUUACUGGAUAUUUAUCGGCUAUAUUUUAUAAGUAUUCCACUGUAAACGCAUCAGAUACAGAUAUGUUUCAUACUAUUUUUUAAGACAACCAGGGAACAUCUAGGUGCAUGAUAAGAUUCUGAGGGGAGCUAGAAAAUGAGACACGCUGGCCCCUUAUACAUAGCGUGCAUAAUGUUGGAGAGGUGGAAGCAAGGUAGGUGGGACCCUUGCUUGAGAUUGUAGUGUUAGGAGAUAAUGAUGAAGCUGAUUAAAUUAUAAGUUGUUGAUUGCUUCGUUGGUUGGUUGUUGAUCUUAAUACAAGCUUUUAUUAUUGGUGUCUGCAGGUUCUAUGCAUCAGAGAUGGUGGUAGCGUUAGAGUACCUUCAUAUGUUAGGGAUUGUUUAUCGCGAUCUAAAGCCUGAAAAUGUGCUCGUUCGAUCAGAUGGUCACAUUAUGCUCACGGACUUUGACCUCUCAUUAAAGUGCGAUGAAUCUAGGUCAACACCCAAGAUUAUUUCUAAUAAAAAACCACUGCUUCCAGCUCCCCAAAACAUCUAUCCUAUACAUCAACCUCCUUUUAUAUCCUCUUCAUGCAUUAUACCUAAUUGCAUAGUACCUGCAGUGUCAUGUUUCCACCCAAAACGCAAACGCAAAAAGAAGUCUAGCCACCGUGGUGGGCCUGAGUUUGUGGCUGAACCAAUGGAUGUCCGUUCCAUGUCUUUUGUUGGGACUCAUGAGUAUUUGGCACCAGAAAUUGUAUCCGGGGAGGGCCAUGGUAGCCCUGUGGACUGGUGGACACUGGGGAUUUUUACGUAUGAACUGUUUUAUGGGGUAACACCAUUUAAGGGCGUCGAUCAUGAGCUAACCCUAGCUAAUAUUGUGGCUCGAGCCCUUGAUUUCCCCAAAGAACCAACAAUUCCCACGGCGGCUAAGGAUCUUAUUCACCAGCUACUGGUCAAGGAUCCUGCAAGGCGGUUAGGGUCGACAAUGGGUGCAUCAGCAAUCAAGCACCAUCCGUUCUUCCAUGGGGUCAAUUGGGCAUUGCUAAGAUGCACAACCCCACCAUAUAUACCUCCACCGUUUCGUAGACAAGUUGUAGCAGAUGGAAGCUGUCCGGAGACCCCAGUGGAGUAUUAUUAGGGGAAGUAAAGAAAUGACAAGUAGACAAAAAAAUUCCAAGAUUCCCCAGCAGCUCAUGCCGCCAUUUGGGGCAUGCCCAUAAAUUAGAGCUCAAUGCAUUUGUAUAUGCGCUUUAAUUAUACGAGAUUCUACUAACAUGCAAGAUGUCGUUGGCUAGGGUACAAUGGAGGUUUUCGAGAUUUGUUGUCUUGACGAUGAUCCAAACAUAUCGGCUAAAAACAUUAUGCAUUAAUUACUGAAUCGAGUGUAUAUUUUUUAUAGGGUUCAUGACAGUAAAUGUAGAUGUAUACAUACAAAUAUUAUGCGUUCAAUGUAAAUCCAUUUUAUGUUAUAUAAGUUUGAGGUCAAUGCCAGAGCAUUGGGUCACGACAAUCUAUAAUAUUGACUUGAGGUUGAGGGCGGUGAAGUUUUGUGGCGUGUAAUAAGCUGUCAACCGAUCAGGUAGGGGCCGGAAGGUGGGCUAACCACCAGGGUGGGAAUUGCACCUUUUUGUAAGUUCGGUUGGGAAGGAUCGUGUUCAUGCCAGAGAGUUAGGCUCACGUGACCCCUGCUUACUAGUUACUACUAUUAUGAUCGGUUUAAUAUUUGCUUUUUUAUUUAUUUUUCUAUUGGCCUUUAGUGCAACCCAUCCCUUCCCAUCCCAUUGUAUACGAUAGGAAUCUCUAGCUCAAAUUAGUUAUGCUAUUAUUAAAAGGAUUAAUUUAAUAUUUAUAAUUAAAUUGGAAGAGAGUUAGUAUUUAAUGUUUAAAGAAAUAUUAUUUAUUAUUUAACAAAGUUCAUAUUUUUAUAGUUUUUAUUGUUCUCUAAAUAAAAUCUUUUGUUUAGAUUUGAACUGCAAUUAAAAAAAUAAUAUUCAAUACAAUUUUUUUAUAAAGUAAAUGUUACCUCUAUUAUAAUUUAGAUCUAUAUGAUUUUUUAAUAAUAUAGGGACUAAAUUGAUUCACUUAAUAAUAGAGGGAUUAAUUCUAUCUAAUCCCUAUUGUCGAAACCAUUUUUUUAUUUUUGAAAAAAAACGGUGAUCGACUUUUAAAACAAAGUGUGGAGUUGCCACUAAUCUUUUUGUUUAGGUGUGAUUGGAACACCUAAUAAAACAUUUUUAUUAAAUCGAUUUUGGUCUACGUAAACAAAAUGGGUUCGGAAGCCGGUUACGUAUGAGGAAGGAUUAGCACCUCACUACGCCCAAAAUUGGUACCGAAUUGAUUAAGUGUUGCCCUUAUGUCUAAAAUUAAAAAAAAAAUGAAAGAUGGUUCCUUCUAAAAACAUUUGAGUGGUUCAAGUUGGUCGUCAAAAUUCUCUCGUUUUAAAGGUAUGUAGCAUCACAUCCAGUACAAUUGGACACGAUUCUUCAUACCUUUGAAAACACGAUUGAUUUUUGGCUUCAAAAGCGCUUAGGUUAAAAAUUAUAAAAGGAUAUCCAGAUAUUUAGUCCAAAAAAAAUCGAAACCCAGCACGGUAGGGUACGAUUUCUCGAAUUUUCAAAUAUUGAACAUUGCCCUUUUUUUGAAGAAAAAUGCAGAUGGAAUUUUAAAGGGAUGUUUGAUUAUUUGGAUAAAUAGAAAAUCGAAACCUAAUACAUUAGGGCAUGAUUUCCAAAUUCCCAAACAUCAACCAUCGCUUUUGUUUUAAAGCUUAGAAAACGCGGACGAAAUUUAAAAGGGAAACCUGAUUAUUUAGACAAAUAAAAGAUCGAAACCCAACACAUUAGGGCACGAUCCCUCGAAUUUUUAAACAUCAAACAUCGCAUUCGUUUUAUAAAGUUGACUCAAAAUACAUUAAUUUGACUUGAAAUAAAGUGGAAUAAUUAAUUUUAGACCAAUAAGUUGAAGAUUAUAAAUGUAAUGUGACACUCGUGAAUGAAAGGCAAAAUUAUAAGCAUGAGACAAUAUACAUGAAUAAUGGACUAUACUUAGUGAAUGAAAAUAGUAUUGACAAAAAAAAAAAACAAAUUAGCAAACACACAAUAACAAUGAACUCAUAUCCUAUUUUAAAAACAUUAAUAAUCAGAAUAAUAGAAACUAAAAUAUAACUAAUCAAAGAAACAUAUUAGAAUAAAAUAUAAUGAAUUUUCGAACAUAGAUGAACAACAAUUGAAAUGAUAAUACAAAGGACAAUAAACAAUAUGCAACAAUAAUAUAUGAAGUAACAUGAAAACUUAAACAAUACAUAAUAUACAAAACAAUAUGUAGGAGCCAAUAUGAUACAAAUCAAUGUGAAAACCAUAUGAAAAAUUUGCAAAUGAAUAAUACAUGCUAAAAUUCGAAACAAUAUACAUAUAUAAAAUAAAAACUAAUAAUACAUGAAUGAUUAUUAAAAUAGAUGUUAUGAAAGAGGGAGUUUGGAUCAAAUAAUGUACAAAAUAUUUUAAAAACAAAACAUGUUUGUUUAAAGUUGAAAAUAUAUGUACCAUAUAAUUUAAUAUAAAUAAUAUAUAAAAGGGAUAAAAAAAGUAUAAUUUUUUUAAGAAAUAAACUAUAUUCUUAAUAGAUUUGAAAAGAAAUAUAUAAAUAUAUAUAUUUAUAUAUAUAUAAAAUGAUUUAAAAGAAUAUAUAUAUAUAAGGCAAUAUGAAAUCGAUGAUAUAUAUACAAUAAAAACAAUUUUAACAUAAACUAUGUAUAUAAUAAUAUAUAAAAUAAUAAAAUAAUGAUAUAGAAAUACAAUUCAUAGAAAUACAAUAAUGAUAGAGAUAUAAAUAGGUAAAUAAAAAUAGAUAAAUAAUAGUAUUUGAGUAAGAAAAUAUCCGGAAAUAUAAUAAUUAUAGUAAAAAUAUAUUCAAUUAAUGAUAUAAUGAUAUGAUAAUAUAAUAAUAGGUGUGAAAAGAAAAUAUAAUUAGAACAAUAAUGACAUUAAAAUAAUUAAUAAAAUAGCAAAAACAAUAAAGUGGGACGAAUUUGAAUUUUAAAACAGGAAUUCAGAGGCAAAUCGGAAAUAAAAUAAAAGGGAAGGAUCAAAAUGUAAUGCGCGCGGACAAAGAGGGACCGAAUGGACAAUAUUCCCCACCCCCAGAGUGCAUCGUUUUGAUAUGGGCCAAAAUGAAAUAGGUGCGAAAGUUAUGGGACGACAUUAAAAAAAAUAAAAGAAAUGAAUAGGAUUGAAUUAAAUGAAGGUGAAAAGUCGGAGGGACUUGGGGUGUAAAUAUCCUAAAAAUAAUGAAAACACGCGGAUCCCCACCCUCUGGAGUGGGUCGAAAUCGGGUUGCCUUAUAUGGUGUCGUUUUGGGGCAUUUUAAGCCAUCCCAAAACGGCGUCGUUUUGGUGCCUUAUAUAAACCCUAUUUUUUUUUAAAAUCUUCAUUUCAGCCCAUUUCUUUUUUAAAAAAACUGCAAAAAAAACCUCUCAACUCUCUCCCUCUUUCCCUAUUCCUAACGAACUCCGGUCAGUGGCUGUCGUGGGCUCCGCCGUCGUCGGCCGCCGUCCCAGAAAAUUUCUCUUUUCAAGCGACUCGAGAAAGGUAUCUCUUUCCUCCUUUUUCUUUUUUAUAUUUCGAUAGAUAUCUAUAUAUAUAUAAGAAGGAAUCAAUGAAAUAAACCCUAGAAAAAUCGAAGAAAAAGAAAAAAAACGAUAUGAAAAUCACCUCUAGCAAAAUCGCUUUUUUUUUUCUUUUUUUAUUGUAUUUAAUACAAUGAUCUUUUUUUUUCCCAAAAUCCCCCCCUUUUACAUCCGAUUUUUGAAGUGGCUUUAUAGCCUAAUGAGAUACAAUGUUUUUGCUACUGUUUUGGCUUUCGUUUCUUGUUGUCCUCUUCUUUGCUUGUUUGCAGGUGACAGCGAAGGCGAUGGGAUGGGGCAAAGGUGGUCAAUCCUCGGGCGAUGUGUGCGCUGAGGGUGCACAUGGAAGGGGUACGGCGCACUCGAGGCGUGCGAAGGGGGGAAACGGCGCUGGAGGCUAGGUAGAAACCUUAGGUUUUCUGUUUCUGAUUUAAUUUUUGGGCUAGGUGGGCUAGGUUUUUUUUGUUAAGUUUGGAUUGGGUUUGUUAGGCUUCUAAACUUUGUAAAUGGACUUUAGACAAUUUUUUUUGUAAAUUUGGACUAUUUUGGUUUUGUUAUAUUGGGCCCGAGCAAAUUUGGGCCUCUACACCUAUAAUCUAAAAACCUCUUAAGUACUUUAACCGUAUUAUAUGUCUUUAAACAUUACACUUUACGUCAAUAUCGAAAAAGAGAGAGUAACAUUUAGGCUUUGAAAUUGACAAUUUUUCUUACCUUGGUCAUUAAACUUUUUUUUUAAAACAUUAAUUUCAAAAUUGACAGUUUUUCCCAAUUUAGUUACCUAUCUCUAAUUUUAUUAAGAGAUAAUGAUGUGAUAUAAUCUUAAAAUACGGUACGUUUACAUCUUAACAAAUCAAAAUUCAAAAAUUUUGAGAGUAAAAAAAAUUAGGUAGAAAAAGUUGCCAAUAUCGCCCCAAAAGAAACACCUUUACAAACGUUAUUAACCUAAGCAGUAUUCUGAAAUAAAUCUUGAUAUUUAAUUUUGAGGGCUCAAUUACAAUACUAAAUUAUCUAUAAAAUUUAAUUCCAUGAAACACGUUUUUAAUACUGGUAUAAUAAUAAUUUUAGUCCUUAACAUUUAUACAUUAUGGCAAUUUAGUUUUUAUGCUAAAAAAAUUAACCCUCAACAUUUUACACUUGUGUAAUUUGAUCUUUUUUGCAGUUUUGUUUCUCUUUGUUGUCGAAACUUAUUUUUUUUUUGGAAAUCGACUUUUUAUUGAAAAAAAUGAAAAUAGAGUCGCCACCAAUCCUUUUUAUUUAGGUCUAAUUGAAUCACCUCAAAAUUUAAUCAUAAAAGAUAUGGUUUACCAAAACAAUGAUUUUUGGCCUACAAAAUCUAAGAAAAUAGGUUUGGGAGUCGGUUACGUAUGAGGAAGGAUUAGUUCUCUCAUAAUGACCAAAAUUGGUACCUAGUUGAUUAUUUGAUGUUUUGAUGUCUAAAAUUGAAAAUUCGAAGGAAAUUUAAAAUACAAUCCCUCUUUGCAUCUUGUUAUCUGAUGGUAUUGAAAGAAAGCUGAUCUAAAUUGAAAUUUAAACGAGGAUGUGUUCUCAUUUUGAGUUGAUCAAGACGAAAAAUCAUGUCACGUAAGUUAGGGCACAAAAUCUCGAAUUCUCAAAAAUAAGGACGCUCUCCGUUUAAUUAUAGCCCAAAUCUUACAAUCUUAUUUAUUUAUUUAUUAUUAUUAUUAUUAUUAUUUUAAAUAGGAUGUGAUAUUCAAUUAUUUUAGUUCAAGGAAAAAUCGUACCCCUAAAGUUAAGAGGACAAUUUAUUGAAUCCCUAAAAUAAAAAAUAUCGCCUUGAUUUUAAUUUCUUCUCAUGAGUUAUUUAAAAAUGAAUACAUCACUUGAUAUGAUAUGCGAUUGAGCAUAAUGCGGGAAUGAAUAAAUAUAUCUAAGCAUAAUGGUUAACAUGGUCAUAACCAUAAUAAAAUAAAAUAACUACAUAAAAAAUUAAAAACAUAGAUAAAAAAAAAUUGAACUGACUAUCGUAAAAUAAUAAUAUAAGAACAAAAUAAUGGUAGAUACCAUUAUCAAAUGGUGAUGAAGCAGCUUUAAUAAUAAAUUGAAUCCCUAAAAUAAAAAAUAUCGCCUUGAUUUUAAUUUCUUCUCAUGAGUUAUUUAAAAAUGAAUACAUCACUUGAUAUGAUAUGCGAUUGAGCAUAAUGCGGGAAUGAAUAAAUAUAUCUAAGCAUAAUGGUUAACAUGGUCAUAACUAUAAUAAAAUAAAAUAACUACAUAAAAAAUUAAAAACAUAGAUAAAAAAAAAUUGAACUGACUAUCGUAAAAUAAUAAUAUAAGAACAAAAUAAUGGUAGAUACCAUUAUCAAAUGGUGAUGAAGCAGCUUUAAUAAUAAAUUGAUGAUAAUAAUGACGACAAUGAUGUAAUUAAUGUCAUGUGAAACAGGCCCAAUUCGCCUCGGUCCAGACAAAACCAACCAAAAACAAAACAAACAAGUAAAUAAUAAAACCCAUUAAGGUUCAGUCUAUUUACAACCAAUUUCAAAUCCAAUACAAGCCCAAAUAUAAAUAAUAAAACUUAGUCCAAAAAUACAAUACCCGAUGGCCCAACAAUAGAAACAGGCCCAAAGGGCCCAAAACCAAACAUUUUCAGCUAAAGAGUGAAAAUCCUAGCUGUUAGGCGCGCUGUUGCUCGCACAUACAGCCUCCAGCGCAUCUCCGUACCCCUCAGCACGCCACUACACGCCACUACACGCCACGUACCUGCAAGGACAAAAAGUAUGACAGCAAAACAACAAAAAACGAGCAAAUGUUGUAUUUGUUUUCUUUAUUUUCUUUCGGCUAUAAAAAGCCAAAAAAUUUUCAAUGUAUGGGUUCCUUUUUUUUAACUACUCACGAACACAGACGAAUAUAUUCAGAGAAAUCAAAUACAAAAACCCUAAAGGUAAUCCUUUUUAUUUUCUUUUAACCACUGUUAUUAGUACAUACGUAGAAUAAUAGGAAAAGGGAAGGAAAGCUUACCUUUUUAGGACCCCAUUGCUGCACCACAAGUGGGGGAGGUUGCUGUUUUCGGUGAUGAACGGUUCUCUUCGGUGAAAUGGAAGAAAACCCGAAAUAUUUCUUGGUCUUUUUUUCUUUUUUGGUUGAGUUUUCGUGGAAAAUAGCCUGAGAUCUGGACUUUGAGCGUUAGAGCGCUCAAGUUGGUAGUUUUUUAUGAACUUCGACCACAGUGGAUGGUAGUGCCGUCGCCAGCGACCGAUGACUGUCACGAUGGUCUGGCGCCGGAGAUAGGUCGAAAAUCAGGAGAGGAGAGAGUUGAAAGCCUUUUUUGUCUUUUUUAGAAGAGGUGAGAAAAUGAUUUAAAAAAAAUAUUUUGACUUAUAUAGGCUGGCAAAAGGCACCGUUUUGCUUAGCCCUUUUAAAACACCAAACGACGUCGUUUUGCGAACCGACCCGAGUCGAAAACCACCUAAGAUUCGCGUGUUUUUGGACAUGGGGACUAUUUGCGCCCCUAGUCCUUCCGCAUUUGAGGCUGGUUUCAAUUUGGCCCUAUUAAGUUGUUUUACCUUUUUAAUUUUACCCCAGAAUUCUAUUUCUAUUCCAUUUCAGUCCCCUUAUAAACUACGCCGUUUUGGAAAGGGAAAUAAUUUCCCAUUUAGUCCUCUACCUUUGCGCGCGUUUCACUAUUGCUCCUUUAUUCUGCCUUUUUCUUUUAUUUAUUUAUUAUUUAUCCCUACAACUUCAUUUUAAUUUUGAUUUAAUCCUUUCUUUGUUAUUUUUGUUAUUUUAUUAUUAAAUUAAUUUACUUAAUAUUAUUAUUAUACUUUCUUUUUCGCAUUUGAUUAUUUGUUUUAUUAUCGUGUUACUAAAUUAAUUGUUUUUUGCAAUAUUAUUGCCAUUAUUUUUUUCAUAUGUACCUAUUUACCUAAUAUAUAUAUCUUAUUUUAUCAUUUAUAUAUGUAUAUCCUUUGAUAUAAUUUUAAAACUAUUUUAUUUUUCUUUAAAUUUGCCCAUUUAUUUUCAUUAUUUUACAUUCUUCAAUAUCUUUUUAUGCACUUAUUCAUUUAUUCACUCGUCCUAUUUUGUUUAAGAAUUGGUUUCUUCUCGAUUGAGGCCCAUUUUAUUGCUAUCGUUAUUAUUUAUUAUGCAUUUAUUUUUCUUUAAUUGUUAAUCUUGGUGUUAAAUUGAUGUAUAAUACACGAUUAUUGCCAUCAUGAAUUGUUUAUUAGUACACUCAUAUAGUUGUCAUUCAUUAGCAUAAUAUUUUAUUCGCAUACCUCUUUUAAAUAUUAUAUCAAUUUUCACCCUAAAUUCAUAAAAAAGGAUUCCUUAAUAAAGGCAAUAUUCCGUGUUUGGAAAUUCGAGAGAUUGUGCCCUAAAGUACUGGGUUUCGAUUUUUCUCGUUUGACCCAUAUGACCGAAUAUCCUUUUAAAAUUAAAAUGCAUGAGUUUUGAAAAUCAAAAGACAAGUUUAUUCUCGAGGGUUUAAAAUGUCGUGUCCUAAAGUACUGGAUGAGACAUCUUAUUACUUCGGGACAAGAAGGUCUUUAACAUCCGCUUUGAUUUAUCCAAACAUUUUUGUAAAAUUAACAUUAAUAAAAAAGGAGGAUCGUAUUUUUAAAUUCUUUACGGAUUUUUAAAUUUCGACAUUAAGACAUUAAUUAAUCAAUUAGGUACCAAUUUUGGGCGUUACGAGAGUGCUAAUCCUUUCUCGUACGUAAUCGACUCCCGAACCCGUUUUCUCGAAUUUUGUAGGCCAAAAUCGUUAUUUUAGUAAAAAAAAAUAUUUUAUUAAAACAAUCAAAUUACGAGGUGAUCUGAUCACACCUAAAUAAAAAAGAUUGGUGGCAACUCCCAUUUUCAUUUUCUCAAAAUAAAAGCCGUUUUAUCAAAAGAUUGGUUUUGACAUCAUGUUUAAUAAAUAAAAAAAAUGAUAGUAAUAAUAAAUCAAGGAUAAAGUAAAAAUUGUUUAAUUUAGAGGAUAAAAAUACAAGUAACAAAAAUUAACACAAAAAAAAUAAAAAUAAAAUAAAGAAUACAAUAAUACAAUAAAAAUAAAUGCUUUAAAUUAAAAUAGAGGCCAAUCAAGUUUGUGGUAAAAUUUAAAGGAUGAAUUAUGAAAAUAAAAAAAAUUGAAAAUAAAGAUUAAAGUAAAAUAAAACAAAAAAUAUAGGGACUCAAAAGGCAAAUAAUCCUAGACCUAGCACACGUCACUCCCAAAGGGUCGGUAGUAUAAGGACAUGAUUGAAUAUAUAAAAAACAUAAGUCAUAAAAAAACAAAUAAAAUAAAAAAAAUAAAGGAUCAAAUUGAAACAACGUAGAAAUAUACGAUGACUCAUAAGGUUAUUUUUCCAUCCGUGUCAUUCCCUUAAGUUUAACAGUGGGUCAAAGGACCGAAUCACAAGGAAAUAAAAAUAACGGGGUAAAAAUGAAAUAUAAAAAAAUAUGCAGGACUAAUUUAAAAACAUACUAAAAAGCGGAAGAACCAAAAUAGCAACUAGCCCCUCCCUUCAAAAACAAGUAGAUCCUAUGAGCUGUUGGGUCGGAUUAUCGGGUCAAACUUAAAACGUAGUCAUUUGGGACUUUUGAAGCCAAGUCCAAAACAGCAUCAUUUUGGGGCCUAUAUAAGGCAAAACUUAUUUAAAAAAUUUUUCAUUUCAAACCUUUUUUUUU